ACAUUGGUACUUUUCAUUGUUUGAGAAGUCACUACGAUAAGUCCCAUCUGUAUAAUCUGUUGAAAAGGUCAUAUUUUUUAUCAUGUUCGAUGAUGGCUCAUGUUUUGCAGUUGUCCUAUCAAUAGUAGUCUGUGGUAGACCAUUGCUGUCGGCGCGUACCCAACCUACCAUGUUGGUUCAAGCAAGGUUUGUGCAAUUUAUUAGCAAUUCUCCACCACCCCACAGUGCUUGGGACAAUCGCCAUGAGAGCGUGCUAGACUCUCAACCGUUAAUGCAUUGGAAUGGAAGUCAUCCGUGUUGAAUUGGCGAUGAUAAAAUAAAUAUCUAACUUGGAUGUAAACAAGCACAAGAAAACCCUUUUCGACCGAAAAAAAAACACUCUGAACCCUAGACAUCCCACCCAUGCUCACCCUUUUCAGCUCGAUGGUAUAACACCACCCAAAAAGGCCAAGUCCGGAUUCAGGCCCUCGCCUCAGCAAAUAUUAAACAAUGGUAUUAUAAUGCUAGUCCACAUCCAACUGAGCACUACACCAAAUCUCUCGACAUCCCCUCUUUGGUUAUGCAGAGACAGCCGAAUCAAAUCAUGUUAUCUUCGUCUUCCCUGUCUCUCAUCUAACCCUACAUUUAUUAAUGGCAACUUAUAAUGGGGGUUCCAACAACUGCUUAAACAAUUAUAAGCAGCUUCCCCGACACCUAAAUGCAGAGGCCUGUGACAACAUCAACUCAAGGAUGCUCCUUUAGUUACAUUCCGUGAACCUUGAUUACCACCAACUUCCAAGAUCUAAAAAGAGGUAAUUUGACUACUUGAGUUUGAAGAUAAAUUGACUUUAUCUAUAAACUUCCAAUCGAAUACAGACAUUAUACAAAUAAUGUGUUAAUUAUAAACACUCAGAGAAGUAGAAGCCAAAUUGUCAAUUUCUACAUUUCCAGAAUUUUGUGAUCAUCAAACCAGUGAAACUGACCCAAACACUAACAAUCGAACUCAAAGAUCAAAAUCAUUACUUUAAGGGGAAACAGUAACUUUAUAAACAUGGGCUGGAUGAUCUGCAACAAGAACUUGAUUGCCUCAUCAUGGUUCUCAAAGUAAACAAACAUAUAAAGAUCAAAAGACCAGCGAUAGAUACAUUAAAGGCUAUAUAAAAACAGAGUUCUCCAAAGAAGAACGAACAUGUAAUUUGACAGACUCGAGAGAAAAAAAAGAAAGGAAAAAAGUACUUUCCUACUCUGUUCUCUAGGCAAAAAAAAGAAAAAGAAAUAAAGAAAAUAUAUGUAGGUACAUAUAAGAUCAUCCUUUAUGGUUCCAGCUUCAAGGAAACAACCCGUGAUUGUCUGUUACGCUUUGCCACCUUGACAAAUACUACUGAGAGGCAAGAUGGAGCCCACCAUGGCCUGCGGACCUUUUGCUCCCCUUUCAGGCAAGCCACUGGACAUAAACUUGGUUUUAGCACACACACAGAUGGUAUCUAAAUGCAAUUCAAAUUUCAGAGGAAAAAGGCAUAUAUAUGUAGCUCAAGGGAAAUAUGAUUCCAGAAAGGUUUAAAUUCUCAGCUUGCUAGGAUAGAUAAUGAGAUCAAGAGAGAGUUUCACAAUGCUAUUGAAUGAGGCAUAAGAACGGUUUCUUAGUGUCAGCGUGCUAUGCUAUCAGUAGACAUUUGAGUGCAUGAAAUGAAUGGAUCAUGCAUGGCCAGUCUAUCUCACCAAUCCAUAUACUCUACAAAAACUCUCUUUUCUGUUUUACUUUUGGAAUAAUUAUAUUUUCCAAUAAUCAAAUGUCAUAUGUACCUGUGCAUAGAAAAUGCAACAGUAAGAUAAUCACAACCCUUAUUCAAAUCUAUUUAUCCAAUAACUCCAGAGACUAAAUGAAAUUUUUGAUAUAAGAACGAACACAAAGACAUUUUUUUCACAGCAUGAUAAAGACUGCUAGGAAAAUUUCUAGGCUACAGACCUUUAAUUCGCCUUAGUUCCUUACACAGCGUGAUAAAGUCUCCCCAUUUCAUGUGGCACCGUCUUAUAAACCGAAGAAUCUGCUCAGUAGUAAACAUUGACAUGCCUUCCAGGUAUUCUCCAUUGACUCCAUUUUCCUUAAAAGUUUGCCGGUAACUGCCGAGGUUUAUCUCUUCCAACCACAAACCGACAUCCUGUACGAAAGGGGAAAAUAAACAUGAGAAUACAUGUGGGUGAGCCAUGUAUCUUUAUAUUCGUUUUAUUAUAUAUGGCCAAAAAAUAUGUACAUGAGGCCUUCAUCAGGGCACAUGAUAAACUCAGGCUAUUAUUAAGUCACUGUUAUAAUAUAACAGUCCCUCCAACCCAAAAAUAAAAAUAAAAAAAACAAUAUUCACCCAAAUUUUUGUUCAGGACAACCUUAAACUUAGGGCAAUUUAAACUCUUUCUUUUGAGAUUAUCCGACUAGAGUUCAUCCAUAUCAAACGGCAUUACUUCACAUGGCAAAGAAAUGUUUUUGUCUGUAACUUGGCUGUGUUUAAUUUUAAUAUCAAUAAUCCCCUUUAGUCACAAAAUAUCUGUUCCCAGAGGUAAUCCUAAGAUUCCUAAGACCAAUAGUAAUGUGUUUGUCUCUUUAUUUUCACUGUAACGUACUUACUCAUAGCUACUAAUAGUUAGGUGGAGGCAUCUUUAGCACAACUUCAGAGUCAAAGACCACAUUCAAGCUUUAGCUCAUAGUUUUGUUCACUUGUGAAGUUGUUAAAAAAAAAAUUAUAAUCCAUUCAUCAUUCUAUGGACAGGGAAACAAUUUCCACACCCCAAGAUGAGGAGGGUCCUGACCAAGGGAAUAGCAACAGAUAAUACGGUAUUGCACUAACAACAAACGAUUGUUCUGUAUCAUAUUAGAAUCGUUUUAUAAAGUGACAAAGAGUCAAACGCCUGACACCUCAAGAACCAUAACUCAAAGAAAGAAGAUUGUGUCGAAUAAUAGUUGGAGGAGGAUGAAUUGAUGAGUGAAGGCAAUUAUUUCCUGUAGUAACAACAUGAGAUGGAUUCAAAUGAAACUGAUGAAUUUCCCAGCUUGCCAAGUAUGAAAGAUAAUUAGCAGAUUACAUGAAAAGUCUCCUCUAUUUCGAUUCAUUAAGUUGGUCUAUUUCACAAUAAUCAAAACUAAAACCUACCACUUGAUAACUGUUCCCCCAGUAACAACCCCAUCAAAAAGAAAAUACAUCACAAGAUGUUAAAAAAAACCCCAAAAUUUCAAAAAGUUAAUACAUACAAACACACAUAUAUACAAAGCCUAACUCAAAGAGAAACAGAUGUAUGAGCUAGCAAUAAAUUAACAAAAAAAAUGAAGUCAAAAUCAGAUGUCCCAAACAACAAUUCUCCAGUAACAACGCACAAGAUCUACUUGAUUGAAUGAGAAAUAUCCAAAAACAAGGACAGAAAAAGAGAAAAAGAGACUGAAAAUUGGUUACCUCAACAGUCCAAAUGAAGAAAUCAAGAGGCUCUGGUGGGUGUUCUUUGCUCAUCUCCCUCAUCAUAACGCCUUUUCAAGACCUUCAAAUCAUUCACAACCCAAACACACUCUCAGUCACAGAGACGACACAAAGAGUAAAGAGCUUAAAAAUAAAAUUUCACAAAAAAUAAAAUAAAUAAAUAACAGCUUGGUCUAAGACUAGUGGCAGUUACUGCGAUCCGAAUUUUCUUCGUUUUUUUUUCUUUUUCUUUUGUUCGUUGUAUUUUCUGGGAGACCAAACAGAAAGUUAGAGAAAGCUGGAUUGGGACUUACCGUGCGGAAGGUGAGUGACAAUUUUGAGGGUAUAAAUUCUCUACAUUUGUUUCAGAGCUUAAAGAGAGAGAAAGUAAGAAGAAGUCUGAAACUGAUGACUCAUUUGCUUUCUUGCCCACUCUUUUUUUCUGUCUCUUAAUGGAGUUGAUGGGCCUCCAUUUUUCUCCUUUAUUUUCCCUUUUAAUUUCUCUUAAUUAUCAUUGCUAAAUUUCAUAUAAUAACACUAAAUUACAUUUUUAUCCAUAUAAAUAUUGUAUCGGAUUGCAAAGCGAUACUGGGGAGAAGGAACCCAACACACAUCUCAUAUGCAAAAGUUAAUACUAUUAAUCGCUUUAGCUACGUGUCCUUCACAAUCCAUUUAAAUUUUUACUAGUAUCUCAAUUGUGAAGAACAUAUAUUCGUGAACGUAAAUCGAAAUACUAGUAAGACUAAAUUCAUUUGAAUUCUAAACCAUAAAAGGUUAUAAUUGUAAACGUCAAAGUGAAAUGAGAUCAAAACAAUUGGAAAUAAAACCCUAAUUUAGCCAAGGAGAAAUUCUCAUUAGUACCCCUUAAGGUAACUUAUAAAUUUGGUUGGUAAAUAAUUUAAUAUUUUAUUUUGGUUCAAUGCAUGUCAAAUCAUAGAGUAAUUGGUUAUUAAUAAUACACCUUAUGACGUUUACUAUAAUAACUUUGUCUUAAUUAUUUUGGGACCAUUAUGAAAUUAUUACUAAACCAGCUUCAAUUAAGGUGCAUGUUUGGGCCCACGUGGGCCGGCCUGAGUUCGAUUGAACUGGAAGACUACGAAGGCGACAAGUUGGACCGACCAAAUCGAAACCAUGCAGACGGUCAAUGAAUCUUAUGGUCAUCAGAUCGUACGGUCGUGACGGGAGUUUCUUUGAAGCUACAGUGAACAGCUACAUGUGCAACACGUGUCCAUACCGUCGCUUACGUUGCGCUAUCAUUGUCCCUGGACCACAUACCAAAUAAUAACCCUAAAUCAGUAAUUAGAAUUACAUCACUUCCUUCUUUUAGGUGUUUAUUAUAUUGUCACUUGUUGUCUCUCCUUUUGAUCUUGCACCCACUUUUUACUGACUUUUUAUUACAAAUGUACGUAUGCACCCCAAAGAUUACAAAAAUAACUUUUCUUACCUCUUUUGUAUUUUUUUGAUGUAAAUUACUGUAAUAUAAGGGAAAAUUUGAAUUCGGGUAUAAGGAGACGAGCACUCUCCUGACAAAAGUAGUCAAUGUUGUUUUACUUAUAACUCAUUAUUUCUAUAGUUAGUUAAGAUUUUGUAUUAAUAUAAACCUUAGUGUUAUUACAAGAUAUAGUUAUCAAUAUGGAUUGGGUAUGUGUAUCAAUGUGGACCGACAAUGGGGCCAAUUCAAGAGGUGGGUUAAACAAGACCUUCUUAAUAUGCUCCUAUGGACCUAAUCCAUACUAUAUAUAUAGCAAGGGCAUGACUCAUGAGGGAAGACAAAAGGGACCCAACUUAAAAAGAGCCCAAUUUUAUAGUGACAUAACAUAUAUUGAAAUGCAGUCUCGAUCUUUUGGACUACAAGAGUUCAAGAGAUUGUGGUCACCCACCGUUGGAUAUUAAUCCAACGGUUGAAAAAAGUUUUUUAAAAGGAGUGCAAGAGUGAGUGAACCAUUGAAUUUACAUCCAAUGGUGAGUGACCACAAAUCUCUUGGACCACUGUAGUCCAAGAGAUCAGGACUGUAUGGAAAUGUAUGAAUGAUUUUUUUUAUUUUAUUAUAAUUUUAAUACAAGCGAUAUUUUAAAUUACAAGAAUGAAGGAAGUUCUUCACACAUGUUACCAAUUCCAACUUGAGACCGUGAUUUGCAAAUCAAUAUAUUUUUUCACUCAACUAAACUCCGUUGACGUGGACAUUUUUUUUGUAGUGUUGUGCUGUGUAAUGGUUAAUCUUACAUUGUUAGAUUUAUAUAUUGUUAAAACAUGCUUUGAUCUAAUGGCUUAAAUUUGUGUAAAGGUGUUGGGCCCACCACCAUUAGUAUUGCUACACACGUCCUAAAGUCGUGAGGUCGCCCACACCGGAUCACCCCGUCGUCAAAUUUCCUCUCUCACUCGAGAGCCAGGACAAUUCAAGCGCUCGCAUUUUCCGUUUUUUCAGCUCCGUGUAUCCCUAAACCCAAAACCCCCAAAUUUUCCCUCCCUUUUUUCUCUGCGAGCAAAAGCCAAACAAAUGUUCUCACCAGGAACUAAGCGAUCCAAUGUGAACCCUCGUCGGGACCCAGGAUCUCCGGCCACUCCUCUCGUCGAGAACCGGCGAUCUGUUUCCGAUAACCCGGUCCCGAACCGGCCCAGUACCGGAACUCCGGCUCCCUGGGCUCCUCGCUUAUCUGUUCUCGCCAGGUACUCGUCUAAUUUAUCAUGCAUUCGUUCUUUGAAUUGCUGAAAUGAGUUCGUCGGUUCUGCAUGUGAGCUUAAUUGUUGGUUUUAAUUGGAUAUGGUAAUUGGAGAGUUGGGUUGGUGAAUGUAAGGGCUGAUUUUCAAUCGUUUGUGUUGUUUUGUGUUUGGUUAGAGUUUUACCAGCGAACCAAAGUGAGAAAGGGGAUGAAAUUAAGCCUGUAUAUGUUGGAGAGUUUCCCCAAGUUGUUCGUGAUGAACAGGCCAGUAUGGUCCAGAAGCAUGUUCAUGGUUAGUAGGGUUUACUCCAUGAGCUUGGUUGUUGAAUGAAAUGACUAACUGUAGAAUGGUAUCCGAUGUUUUCUCUUCUUUUUUUUUCGUCUUGCAGGUGAUACAUAUGUAUCUGGUGGAAUGGAGAGGGGAACAUCUUUGGCAUGGAUUAUAUGCGGAAACAGACUCUUCGUGUGGAGUUAUCUGUCUCCUGCAGCAUCGAUCAAUUGCAUUGUUCUUGAAAUCCCUGCAAAAGUUUUUGAAGGUGGGGAUGUGGGCAGAAGUGGUGGGAACUGUUGGUUGCUUUGUGUUGUCAAUUGGGAUAGCACGUCUACAAGAACAAAGAAAGUUGUUAAACACUGUAGCUCUGCUGGUAUUGUAUUGUGUAACAAAAAAACUCGAGCUGCGGUGUACUGGCCUGACAUUUAUGCUGAAGGCAGAACUGCCCCCGUUGUUAGUGUUGCAUCUUCUGAUGAAUUGGAGGCAAAUUCUUCGCCUAUUGAUAGGAAGACCACCCCAAAGCGACAGCAACUAAAUAUGCGGCACAGGAGUAGUUUGACUGGGUUUUGUACAUUUAACUCUUUGAUUGCUUCUGCAGUCCCUGAUUCCCAGAAUAUGUGUGUUGCGCUUGCCUGUAGUUCAGAUGGCGAGCUAUGGCAGUUUCAUUGCAGCCCAUCUGGUGUUAGCCGUAAGAAAGUAUAUAGGGACAAUCAGACUCUUUCCUCCCAAGGGGGUGACAAUGGUCAAAACCUAGGGAGCAAGGGUUAUCCAAGGUCACUGACCUGGUGUGUUCCAAGUCUUCCUAUGCAGGAAUCUAACAGGCUGUUUGUUCUUCUGACAGAUCAUCAUAUUCAAUGUUUUAAUGUUGAACUUUGUGAUGAAUUUGUUGUGUCAAAACUCUGGUCUCAUGAGAUUAUUGGCUCAGAUGGGGAUCUGGGCAUUAAGAAAGAUUUGGCUGGGCAGAAGCAAAUCUGGCCUCUCGAUAUGCAGGUGGACUAUCAUGGUAAAGUGACUACCAUUCUGGUUGCUACCUUCUGCGUGGACCGGGGUAGUGGUUCAAGCUACACACAGUAUUCUCUUUUGACUAUGCAAUAUAAAUCUGGAAUGAGUGUGGAGCCUACCCAUGAAAGAGUUUUAGAGAAAAAAGCACCUGUGCAAGUGAUAAUCCCAAAAGCAAGAGUAGAAAAUGAAGACUUCUUAUUCUCCAUGAGACUGCGGGUAGGGGGAAAGCCUUCAGGAUCAGCAAUCAUCCUUUCUGGUGAUGGAACAGCAACAGUAUCUCAUUAUUUUAGAAACUCUACAAGGCUCUAUAAAUUUGACCUACCUUAUGAUGCUGGAAAGGUUCUAGAUGCUUCAAUUCUUCCGUCUACAGAUGAUGGUGAAGAAGGGGCAUGGGUUGUACUCACUGAGAAGGCAGGAAUAUGGGCAAUACCUGAGAAGGCUGUUAUACUUGGUGGGGUUGAACCUCCUGAACGAAGUUUGUCACGUAAAGGUAGCUCAAAUGAAGGAUCUGCACAAGAAGAGAGAAAAAACCUUACAUUUGCAGGCAAUUUUGCUCCUAGAAGGGCUAGUUCUGAAGCAUGGGAUGCUGGAGAUAGACAAAGGGCUAUGACUGUAAGUGCGCGUCAAACUGCCCAAGAUGAAGAAUCAGAAACUUUACUGAGCCAGCUUUUCCAUGAUUAUCUUUUAUCUGGGCAAGUUGGUGCCUCGUUUGAAAAGUUAAAAAAUUCAGGGGCAUUUGAUAGGGACAGAGAGACAAAUGUUUUUGCGCGAAUGAGCAGAUCAAUUGUUGACACUUUAGCUAAACACUGGACAACAACUAGAGGAGCCGAGAUUCUGGCAAUGGCUGUAGUAUCCUCCCAACUCAUGGAUAAGCAACAGAAACAUACAAAAUUUCUCCAGUUUCUUGCUUUAUCCAAAAGUCAUGAGGAGCUGUGUUCGAGACAGAGUAUGCCCUCAUGCCUAUUAUAUUUGCAAUGUUUUAUCAUUUGAUGUCAAAUCCUUUCCAAUUGACAUGGCAUAUGUUGAAACUUGAAAGUUCAUGCAUGCAACAGUGUAGGUAUAGCAUGCAUUUACUUCCACGCGUGCUUAUCUAACCCACUGCACUCAAUCAAUUUCUUUUAGGUUGUCAGAUAUUAACACAUAAAGUUAUAAUUCGUUACCGGAGUUUAAUUUAUCAAAAAUAUGAUUUUCAGGGAAUUUUUUCUUUUUGGUGCUGUGCUCAUUUGAUAAUUUUGUCAUCAGAGUAUCUAUUGGAUGCACGGAGUAUAUUAAUUAGUGUCUAGAUGACAAUAUUUCCUAAGGUGUCCUAUCAUGGGGGUAGAAGGCCUUUUGAGGAGUAUAUUGAUUUGAGGUUCAGUGGGGUGCUGUUGACCAACUAAAUUAUGGUUUUUUGUUUCCUUUUUGGCAGGAAAUUCUUUGCAAAUUAUCUUGGAGCAUGGUGAAAAGCUUGCUGGAAUGAUUCAACUAAGGGAAUUGCAGAACAUUAUUAGCCAAAACCGCUCUAGUGGACUUAACUCCUCCCAUUCUAGUCCAGAAAAUCAAAUAUCAGGUGCUCUCUGGGAUCUCAUUCAAUUAGUUGGUGAGAGAGCCCGCCAGAAUACUGUUCUUCUGAUGGAUAGGGAUAAUGCUGAAGUCUUUUACAGUAAAGUUUCUGAUCUUGAACAAGUGUUCUCUUGCUUAGACAAACAGCUAGAGUAUGUAAUAAAUGCAGAGCAGCCAUUUGGGAUUCAGGUCCAGAGAGCUUGUGAACUGUCAAAUGCAUGUGUUACUAUAGUUCGUACAGCCAUGCAAUACAGAAGUGAGCAUCACUUGUGGUAUCCGCCACCUGAGCGCUUAACACCUUGGUAUUGUCUAGCUGUGGUGCGCAAUGGGAUGUGGCACCUCGCUUCCUUCAUGCUGCAGCUGUUAAAGGAGGCAUCUCAACUUGAUGUGUCUGCAAAAUCAGAUUUAUAUACUCAUCUAGAAGUGCUGGCUGAAGUUCUGCUUGAGGCAUAUGCUGGUGCUGUCACAGCUAAAAUUGAACUAGGAGAUGAACACAAAGGCUUAUUAGAUGAGUAUUGGAAUAGGAGGGAUGCACUCCUAGACUCGCUUUAUCAACAAAUCAAAGAGUUUGUGGAAGUUGGGCAUCAGGUAUUCUUUGUUUAUUACUAUUAUUGUUUAAAUUUUAUUUUAGCUCAACGGUAUCUCUUUGUGAUUGUGAUCCUGGUGCUGGAUAAGUAUGCAUCUUUGAAUUUAUUGUCUUAGCAGAAUUUAAAUGAAGGAACUGAUGAUCUAAAUGAAGAAAUUCUUGCGAAGCUUUCGUCAUGUUUGCUGCCCAUGGCAAAACGGCAUGAAUGCUACAGUACUUUAUGGAAAAUAUGCUGUGACCUGAAUGAUUCUGGACUACUAAGAAAUCUGAUGGUAUGACAGUUAUAAUUUCUUCGGCUUGUUACUUGUUUAUUUUCAUUUGUUUUCUGAAACUUAUGGAAUGGUUUCUCUGUUGGAAAGGUUGUUCUGUGCUAGUGUGUAGUAUUAGUCCGUUGGAAUUCAUUUAACCAUUGAAGCAUAGUAACCUGCGUUGGUUGUUUCUUGAAGCUCUUCCUCUUAAUGGUGCCACAGUUCUGAACGUUUACUUUGAAGCUGUUCUCUUCUAAUUAGAAUAAUUCUUCUGCAACUUUUUUCAUCAUUUCAAUGUUUAGUCCUACUUAGAAGUUUGUUAUUUUUAAGGAUUUCAUUAUUAUGUUUCUGUUUAAACUUAAAAACAUAGGUUUUCUCUUGAUCAUUUGCUUCGAAGAUAUUGUUUGAUGUGAUUUCUGUUUUCUCUUGUUUUCUUGUCUUAUUAGAUGUCUCCUUCGUUUUCUGAAAAUGAUUUGUUAUAUAGCAUGACAGCAGGGGACCUAAUGGAGGGUUCAGUUACUUUGUGUUCAAACAACUUUAUCUAAGGAGACAACUUUCCAAACUGCUUAGGCUUGGGGAAGAGUUUCCUGAAGAGUUAUCCAUAUUUUUAAAGUAUCAUCAAGAUCUUCUGUGGCUUCAUGAAGUGUUCCUUCAUCAAUUUUCUUCAGCUUCGGAAACUCUUCAUGAAUUAGCUCUUUCUCAAAAAGAAAGCUCAAUUUCAGAAGCUGAAGAGGGGACUGGUCCUGAGAAUCUGACUAUGUUACCGAAACUGGCAGACAGAAAGCGUUUUUUGAAUCUCUCAAAAAUAGCCGCAAUAGCAGGUAUGUUUUAUCCUUUGACUUUCCUUAAUAGUUUCUUCAUAUAAUUCCCCUCUUCUUGAGCGUUUUCUUGUUUUCUUUACACUGCAUACUCCAUAUGUUUUCUUAUUCUUUUAACUGUUAUUUAAAGAAAGUUUUAUUUUUAUUGCAAAAUCAAGUUGAUAUAGUAAUUUGUGCAAACCAUUAAGUCAAGCCACUUGAGGACUUCCCAUUUAAUGAGAAAUUGGUAAAUGCCUCUCUAGUAUAGCAAUCAAGGGUUGCUAGUUGUGAGAUAUAUUUUGGUUUCUGUGUUGUCUUGAUUUUUAUGAGUGGUUUUGUCAUCUAAAAGACCAAGUCAAACUUCCGCAUGUUACGAAUUGCUACAUGGUUCACUGCUUUGGGGUGUUGGAAAUGCUAAUAUUUUUUUGGCAUGGGAAGAUAAGAACAUUACUUGGUAAUUUUAUUUGUUUUAUUUUAGCUUGAGCUAUACUGGUUAUUUAAGUGUUAUAUAGUUGUUUGCUUCAUUGGCAGGUAAGGAUGUUGAUUCUGAGACCAAAGUGAAGCGCAUUGAGGCUGAUUUAAGGAUUCUAAAGUUGCAGGUCUGUUGUGUUUUAAAACAAAUUUAAUUGCCAUUUUUGUUUUUAGUUGAAGGGUCUUCCCGAUUAUUUUUCCUUUUUAAGAGCUUUCGUUAUUUGGGUAUCAGAAUUGGCAAAUCAGUCUUGUAUUAUCAUGCCUUCAUUAAAAAGAAAAAAGAGAGAAAGGAUUCUGCUUUUUAUGAUUGGGUAUGGGUUAACAGGAACAAUUCAUGUGCCAUGUCUCUUGCCCCUUCCUCCCUUCCACCCUUCAUAUUCCACGGUUGGCGGCAGUUCCAUGAAAAUUUUCUUCCAGUCAUUGCACUUGCAUGAUUAGAGCCCAAAUUCUCAAUGGUGAUGGUGCAUUUUUAGUCAUUUGUAUUAAAUUGCAUGAGCAAUUAAAUCAAGCUUAGCAGCUUGAGAAGGUUGUGCCUUGUUCUCUUCAUAUGUCCUAAUUGAACAAGGCAUAUAUAACAGAAUUUUCCACCCCUCCCACUCUAAUUAUUAAGGUGGAAAGUAAUUUAUUUUAUUUUCAAGGAUAGGACUUUUGGAAAUCAGUAGUGAUCAAGCAAAGCCUUGAAUUAUGACUUAUUUUUUAACUCUUGAAUAUGAUGAAUCUCUUUCAACUAUGUACAUUCACUGUCAGUCUUCACCUGAUACAUCAUCUGUUGUUGCAGGAAGAAAUAAUAAACCUCCUUCCUGAUGAUGAAACAAAGCAAAGCCUUGACACAAAGCUACUUCAUCCAGAAGAUCUUAUCAAGCUGUGCCUUGAAGGUGAAAAAGGUGCAGAGCUGUCACUGCGAGCUUUCGAUGUAUUUGCAUGGACCAGCUCCUCCUUCCGUAAGACCCGUGCAAACCUUUUAGAGGAGUGCUGGAGAAAUGCUGCUGAUCAAGAUGAUUGGAGCAAACUCUAUCAGGCAUCGGUAUCUGAAGGGUGGAGUGAUGAGGAAACCUUGCAGAACUUGAAAGACACCGUGCUUUUCCAGGCAUCAAAUAGAUGUUAUGGACCAGAAGCUGAAACUUUUGGAGAAGGGUUCGACAAAGUGUUGUCACUGAGACAAGAAAUCGCGGAGCCUCCAAUCAUAAAGGAUUCAGUUUCUUCUGUGGAAGCAGUACUCAUGCAGCAUAAGGAUUAUUCAGAGGCAGGGAAGCUGAUGCUGACCGCGAUCAUGUUGGGUAGUUUACAGGACGAUAACAUAGAACAAGAAGGUCCUGUGCCAAUGGAAUGAGAGUCAGAUUAGUAUGAAUCAUGGUGAUGAGUUCCUGGAUGUGUCAUUGUUUUUUUUUUGUUGAUACACUGAGAUUCGUAGUGUACUAGUCGACAAGUUACAGCUAAAUUUUCUCUUUUCCUUUUUCUUUUUCUUUUCCCUUGUGAAAUUCUCCAACCAAGUUUAUACGAACAUUUGUCAGUCUACUCCGAUGCUUUACUGGUUGUCAGUUGUAAGAAUUUUCUAAGAAGGCGGCAAGUUUUCUUUUUAUAUAUAUAUAUGAACAAGGGAAUUGAACCUGGGAUUGGAAUCCGCAGUAAUUCAUGCAAGCAGUUGCAUUAUCGGCAAUUUCUGUCAAAUUUAAGAAUGCCUUUAGUUUUGCCUUUAGUUUUAAGGGAAAACAAAGCGUGACAAAAUCAGACCAAAAUUGAAGAAAUAAGAAGAAAAAAAGAGUGCAGUUUCGGCGUUUCUUUCUUUGCCGCGUUGCCUUCCAUUACCUCGAAAAUACAUCUAAAUUUCAAGAAAAAUAGAUUUAUUUUGAGGCGGAAAAAUGCAUGAUGAAUUUACCGGGAAAUACUACUGGUUUUGUUGAUGAAUUUCGUUGAAGUAGAAUGCUUUUCUUCUUCCUCUUCUUCCAUUGCCAACUACUUUUGCAUUCUAUUAAAGCCUCUUAUUUUUGGUCAAAAACUACUGCGGCAGGCAAGCCAAUGUGAAGAAGAAGAGGGUCCCCUGCCAAUGGAGCGACAGUCGGGGUUAGUAUUGAAUCAUGAUGUUGAGCUCUUGAAUCGAAUCUCUUUUUUGCUACUUCUAUAAUUAAUAAAAUAUUCAAAAAUGUAGAAAUGAGUUUAGCCAAGUUGGCUAGUGGAUGUGCUUCCCACUCUGCACUGACUUCGAAUUCCCCCACUCUUAGGUUUAUAUCAGUUCAAAGUAGAUUAUCGCUUGUAUAUAUUUUUUUAAAAAAAUAAAUUUUUUUUUUUCAAAAGUAAUUGAUCAUUUGUUUUCCUUUUUUGUUCUUCCCAUAUAAAAUUGCUCUAAAAGGAAAUAUUUGUAAGUUUACUCGUUAUCAUUUACUGAGCGAUUAUAUAUUUUGAAGUGGAUAUUUUAGGUUAUUCUUACAUAAAAAUUUUCUAGAUUCAUAAUUGUUUGGUUAUCCUAAAUGUGAAGAAAAAUGUUGUUCGAUAAAUAAAAUUGAAAAGAAGAUGCGGGUAAUCAAAUAACUAAAUAAUUUUCGAUUCUGCUCAUUUUUUAUAUGUUAAGUAAUUCUUGAAAGAGAACUUAAAAAUUGAAUGGUUUCGAUGCUCGAUUUACAGCCCAUAAAUAGGGUUUCCUUGUUUUCAUUUCCCUUGAAAGUGUUCAGCUCUACCUAUGGUUACUGUGUCAUACCAAUUUCCAAACUGUUGUUAUUUAUAUUAAUUUCUUUUAUACAAUAUCCAAAGUCUUGCCUCUAAUACAAAAUCUUUUUCCGUAGGGUUGGUGCUGAAUAUCUUGGUUUGGAAUUUUUAAAGAGGAUUAUUGAACAAGACGACCCCAAAACGAAAUGAACAACACUAAUCUAUUUGUUAGUGGUUACUUAGACUAAUUAAGUAAAAUAAUGAAUAUUCGUUAAUAUACUAGACAAGACAAGCAAGUCAAGUACUUUGCACUACAGACCAAAGCAAAGACUCGUGUAGCUUUUGUUAUGUUUGGAGACUUUUUACAUUAUCUCUAUUAUUUUUUUUAUUCCGACCACAUGACGUGCUACUAUGCAUGAAUAAAUAUCAUUUGAGAACAAGCAAGCCUCAUUGACUUCUUACACCAAAUACUAAAUACAUUUCUUGCUCGUUUGUGAUUUCUUGUUUAGGAAGGACUUUUGUUUAUUAGCGCUUUUAUUAUAAAAUAUUAAAAAUUUUAUAAGAAAUUUCAGUGCUUUCUAGAAAAUCAUUUUGAAGUGAUUCAUGAAGAAGCUCAUAGCAAAUGCUUCUCCAUAAAGUGCUUUUAUGACCCAUAAGUGCUUUUAUUUAUUUUUAAUUUUAUCAAACGUUGUUGUUGUCACCAAAAAUGUGUCGUUUUAAAUUUAUAAAUACUUGCAAGCACACGAAUCGGAUAUAGUAUAGAUGUGUAAGAACCAGGUCGUACCCAUAAAGAUUGAGUGAAAAAUAUAGAAAACUAAUUAAACCCAAGUUAAUUUUAUUGCCAACCUAGUUGAAUCAAAUGGUGAUUUGUUCGUUGAUAAAGAAAAUUAAAUAAAGCAAAAAAAAAUGGAAAUUAAAAUAGAGAUUAAAUUAAUGAGAAAAGUAACUAAGGUAUUAGAAUCCACACCACUAUUUCAUAAAACUCUAAUUAUUUACCUGUUAAUUUCCACGCUGAGUAGCAAUCUAGAAGUCAACCUAUUACUUUCUCAAGAUAUAUCAUUUAGGCCCUUUAAUGAAUCUUUUUGUAAAUUCCCCUUCCCUUCAUUAGUACAAAUUCUAAGCAUCGCAUGUAAACAAAAUUUUUUUAACUACGAAGGAUCAAAGUUUCCUAAGCAUCCUAGGUGAAAAAGGUUAUUUGAAUGACAAGAGAUCAAAGAAAUUUGGAUACUAAAAAUACAAAACCAAGGAUGUAUUAAUAAAUCAACCCAAAUUCUUAACUACCACAAAUACACGAUAGAAGUGGUGAAAAGAAAGUUAAUCUACUAAUCAUGUGAAGUGGAAAUUAUAAACAUUGAAUAAUUUACUUCGGAAACUAGAAGAUAAAAACUAGAACUUCAUUUUAUAAUGAUGUUUCAUUAUUAACAAAAUUUAACUAGACAUAAAUAAAAUAACAAAAUAAUUACAAGAUAAAAACUAAAGUGGAAAUGAAAAAGGGAAAAUUGCAUCAUUAACCCUUUGGAUCCUUGCCUGUCGGCUCCCCAAGGUUCUCUCCAAUUCUAUCGCAUUUUCUCUCCUCUUUCUUUCUCUUUCUCUCUUUCCUUCUCUUUGCCGUGUAUCUCUUGGUACCUCACAUCUUUGCUCCAAGCUUUUAAUUAUAAUCAAAGUUUAGGAGCUUAAAUGAUAGAAUAAUCAAGAGAGAAUAAGAAUUCUGGUCUUAUCUAUGCACAUUACAAUAGAACACAAAGUGGCAAUAAUGUCAACUACACUUUUAUUUUAUUUUCUCUCUUUUGAGUGCCAAUUUUCCACAAUCCCGCGUGGCAAACGCGUAUAGAGACGAAGCCACACCACCACUCCCUCCCUCCCAGAAAAAAAUUUCACUACAAAACAAUACAAACAAAGAGAAAGAGGCUUACAUUACAUAAUGUCAUAAAACAAAAUAUGAAAAUAAAAAGAAGCUCCCUGUUGUACAUCAAAUUUAAUUUAUAAUCUCUAGGGAAAUUAAUUUUCUGGGUAAUUUACAAUGUGUAGUUUCCAGGUCGCUUCCUUUAUGGGGGCAAAAUUGUAAAAUGCAACAUAUCUCACGUCUAUAAAAAACCCCCAAUCAUCACUCAACUAAUCACACCUCAACCUCAUUUCCUCAUCCUAUUUCUAUCAUUAACUGCAGUGUCUUUCUUGACAUUAUUCAAUAAAUCCCAUGUUUGUUUUUUCUCUGCUACGCAUUAAUCUGGGGGAAAAGGCUAAUUUAAGUACUCUCCAAAGCCAGCACUCACCAAUUCCCUUUUCCGUGAAUCAAAUGAGGCCUAAUAUUUCAUUUUAGUCGCACAAAUUUCUUUGUGAGCUUUUUUGAAGCACUUUCCAAACCCAGCACUCAACAACUCCUUGAGCCUUCCUCAUUUAGUCAUAUACGUACGGUGAGUCCAAUAUUCCAUGCCAAAUCUUUUUUGAUCUUUUUUUUGAACAUUUUUUUUUGUCUGACCAUUUGUCUAAUUUUGUAGUUGCACCAAGAAACAUGUUCCUAGAGCCAAAAACAGAUGAUCAAGCUUCCGAAGGUGUGGGCAGCAGCACUAGCUUGCUCAUUCAAACCAUCAACACUUCUGGCCAAUACGUGCGGCGCAAGAGAUGGCUUAGAUAUAUUGCUCUAGGCGUUUUCAUCUCCUCACGCAGUAAGAAAACCAGAUUGCCCCAUGAAGCCCCUACCUAUGAACCUUUAGAAGCACCGGCACCACCGGCCCCUGCCUUUCAGCAUGCGAUUGACAUCCCUCUUCAGGACCGGUUUCUGAACAAGGUUGGUCGCAUUGUGAGAGAGAAGAACUUGAAUGCACUGCGAGGACUUGGUGGUGUUGCUGGCAUUUUGCCCCUUCUCAGUUCUCACUUUGAGGUAGCAAGCAAAUAAGUAGGAAAAACAAAAACAAAAAAAACAAAAAAAAACUUAAUAAUCUUAUACACUUGAUAAGGAAUGAUUGAGAAUGAUUGAACUUAACUUUGUUAAGUUAAUCAUAUUCGUUCUUUAUAUGACAGGAUGAUGGUGUUGAUGGUGGUCAAAAUCCACAAGGAUGGAACACGACCAAGUCCCCAGUUGAUGCAAAAAGCUUCUCCAACUUCUUGUUGAAGGCUUGCAAUCAAUAUACAGUUUUUUUCCUCUUACUCUCAGCAGGGUUUUCGUUUGCCAUUGAAUUCAUGAAGCAAGGAGUCAAACAAGGGUGGCACGACGGUGUUGCCAUACUCUUUGCGGUGUUCUUACUUGUUGCUUUCCCUUCAGUGGGGAACUACCUCCAUGAGAGAAAGCUGGUGAGGAAGCACCUGCUGGACAGGAGCAGACUGAUGGUGAAUGUUGAAAGGAGUAACAGAGAACCUACAUCAGUUAACAUAUCUAGUGUUGUGGUGGGCGAUAUAGUUCAUUUGAAGGAAGGAGACCGCGUCCCUGCCGAUGGUUUGUUCAUAGAUCAUGGUGAGGACUUGAUGUUGGAUGAGGUAUUGAACCCCAAAAUUGAUUGUCAACAAAACCCGUUUGUGUUGUCUGGUUCAAAGGUUAUUAAGGGGCAUGGUCGCAUGGUUGUGACAUGUAUUGGUGCCAAAACAGUUUUUGCUGAGAUGCACAGCUUGGGGACUAAUCAUAAUCCAAACGAAAAGACGCUGUUACAAGAUUUGUUGGACAAGCCAUUUGAUUGUAUGGAUUAUCUUGCGGUUUGUGUCUCUCUACUGAUUGCUCUCGUGGUGCUAAUACGGCUAUUAUUCUUCAGGAAGCAUGACAAUUACAAUGACAGGCCAGAACUGAAAGGGGAAGGUUCAAUGAACUUGGUAAUGAGGAUCUUUGAGAAAAUUUUCUUGAAACCUCAAGGACGGUUUUCCACUUUAGCAGGUGUUCUUGCAACCGCGGUGAUAGGGAUACAACAUGGAAUGCCUUUUGCGAUUACAGUUGCCCUUUGUCAAUAGAAGGAGAAGGUGGUCCAAAAUCAGGCAAAGCCUCAGAAUCUAUCAGCUUGUGUCACCAUGGGACUAAUAACAGUCAUCUGCAUAGAAACAACUGGUGAGCUAAUGUGUAGUCCGGGGGAGGUUAAGGAAUUUUGGAUGGGUGGAAAGGAUUUAUGCAGUGAUGAAGUGGACUCUGAAGCUGACCAAGUUGUUCUUGAAACACUGCAUCAGGGGAUUUCUGCUACCUCAUCCCCAACAAAAGAUUUGCUCAUUUCUUGGCUGAAGACCAGAUGGGGUGCUAACAUGGAGUUAUUGAAUGAAACAGGUAAUACCAUUGAGCAGAGACAAUUGAGCUCUGAUGAGAAAUGCAGUGGGAUUUUAGUGGAGAAAAUUGUGAACGAUGAACAAAUUCUGCAGUUGCACUGCAAUGGGGAUGCAUCAACAAUAUUACAUAAGUGUUCACAUUACAAUGAUAACAGAGGGGAAAGUAAAACUAUGAAAAACCAGAACAGAAGAUUUAAGCAGGUGAUUAAUAAAAUGGAGGAGAAUGGUCUUAGGCCCAUUGCAUUUGCUUACAAGAAAACAGAAGUCCAUGAAGUUACAGAAGAUGGGUUGAUUUUGUUGGCAAUCGUGGGCGUUAGACGCCCAUAUCAAGAAGAGCUUAAAUUGGCAGUCGAAGCUCUUAAAAGGGUUGGAGUAAGCAUCAAACUGGUGUCAGAGGAUGAGCUCUCAACAGUGAGAGCCAGGGCUUCACAACUUGGAAUCUCCCCCGGUUCAAAUGACAUGGAAAUUGAAGGAGAAGUUUUCCGAAGACUGAAUUCCAUGGAAAGGCAGGAUAAGAUGGAUAUGAUCUCUUUGAUGGGAAGGUCCCUCCCUAAGGACAAGUUUCUCAUGGUGGAUCGCUUAAGGAAAAAAGGUCACAUAGUUGCAUUCUAUGGAGGGUUGACCAUAAGCGACACUCCGACCUUAAAAGAAGCUGAUGUAGGAGUCAUAGAUGAUAUCCGGAGCACAGAAAUGGCUAGAGAGAAUGCUGAUCUUAUAGUUAGAAAUGUCUGUUUACUAGCCCCUAUUUGGAAGUCUGGUGCAUGUGCUUACCACAACAUUCAGCAAUUCUCUCAACUUCAGCUCACUGCUUGCAUAUCCGGGCUACUGAUAACCUUAGUGGCAACAAUGCAUUCCGGAGAGUCCCCGUUAUCCGCAGUUCACUUGAUUUGGGUGAACUUGAUUAUGUGCCUUCUUGGUGGCCUCAUGAUGGUGAUGGAGUUACGAGGCCCAGAACUACUCACUCAAAGACCUGCAAAGAGGACUGAGUCACUUAUAACACCAGUCAUUUGGAGAAACAUAGCAAUUCAAGUUUCAUCUCAGGCUUCUGUCUUGCUGAUCUUACAUUUCAUGGGAAAUGCAGUACCAAGCAUGGAUCAAGGCAUCCGGAAUACGAUGAUUUUCAAUACUUUCACCUUGUGCCAGGUCCUUAAUCUGUUGAGUGCCAUGCACUUGGUGAAGAAGGAAAUGCUACUAGUUGUCCUCCACAACUAUUGGUUUCUGAUGGCUUUGGGGGCUGUUUUGAUCAUGCAGGUGAUGAUUGUUGAGUUUGGAAAAGGGCUAGUUAGUGGUGCGAGGUUGAAUGCACUGCAAUGGUUGAUCUGUUUCCUUCUUGCUGCUCUUUCAUGGGGAUUUGAUUGGACCUUUAAAUUGCUUUCAGAUAGCAUCGAAAGAACAACUUCGGCAUUGAUGGUGAAUUCACAUGUGGGGUUCUCAAAUAGGAGGCGCAGAUUAUACAUUUCUAUUUGGUUGUUCCUGAUCUUCUCCGUAUCGUUGUUUUGUUUUCACCCAGUUUCUCAGCUCGCUAGCACAUAUAUCAGUUAAAUUGGAAGUCUCCCAUGGAAGUCUUAACAAAGUUAAUAAACCAUGUAGUCAUCUUGUGGUCUGUCUGUGUUCCUACUUGUUCUGCACAAUGCCAUCUCUAAAAUGUGAAUAAGUUAUUCUCCUGCCUUUUUACCAUGAGCCUUCGCGACAAUAGACCAGAAUGCUAAUAGAUAUUACAUUGUAGUUGAUCAUAGACAAUGUAGGUGAGCUUAUGUUAUUUACUCUUCGGGACAUUCUCCAAUAAGUAUUUAAAUUAAGGAUUAGUUACAUACUUCUAAUCUCGACUGUUGGAUUGCAUCUAAGAGAAUACGAACACAUUAAAUGAAUGCAAGCCAACAGCUAAGAUUAGAAGUAUGUAACCAAUCCUUAAAAUACUUUUUGGAGAAUCUCCCUUUCUGCCCUGCUAUGGUUUGCUGUUGUUUUGUCAAUACUGCGGCAAAUUAACCUUUUCACAGCAGCCAAGGAACAGUUCUAAUUUUAGAGGUUGGCGUUUUUUACCUCAAGCCUACAAAAACACCCAAGGAAAGUUUAUGCUUUCAUGAUUUCAUCAAUGGGGGCCUAUUAAAUAUUUGUCUUCUGGUUGGAGCUGGCAUGAACUUCUACAGUACAACUAAUCUUGUGGCCUGCGUUCACCAACCACAAAAAUUGCACCAAUUUGCCAGCCACGUGGCUAAGAGAUAACCUCUCUCUCACUAGAACAAUCAGUUUGGAAAUCUAAAUCCAAUUGAGAACCAAUAGAAUGUUGCUGAUGUGUAGAUAUCCUAAUCCACAACAUCUUCACAUUCCCGUUAUAACAUCCCAGCGCUCUAGUUGUCCAAGGCAUCUCAUUAGGCCUCACAACACCACCCCACUUCGAACAGGAGAGCAUAGUCAUGGCAACCUCUGCAAUCCAACAAUCAGCAUUUGCUGGCCAGACUGCUUUGAAGCAGUCAAAUGAGCUCAUCCGAAAGAUUGGCGGCCUUGGUGGCGGCCGCAUCACCAUGAGGCGCACCGUCAAAAGCACCCCCCAAAGCAUAUGGUAAGUACCUUGGCUCUAGCCUGUGAGAAUAAGAUAUUUUUUUCCAAGCAACUCUACUAAAACUUCCAUGUGUAUAGAUAUGGUCACUGAUACAUAUUACGCUAUUGGAGUAAAUUAAAGUAUCUAGUAGUAUUGAGAGUCAUGGAUUCGACGUAAACUUCUAAUCAAAAUGAUGUUUAGAUUACAAUGACAGAAUCUCUAACAAUCUAUUCUACCUCAAUGCAUAAAGUUACAGUGUUACAAGACCAACAUGCUCAACAUAGCAUUAGGAAGUUUACACCAUACCCAUACCUUUUAAAGCCAAGGCCUUGAGCUUAUUAUGCUAACCCUCUUCACUGUAAUUAACAAAACAGGUAUGGCCCAGACCGCCCAAAAUACUUGGGACCAUUCUCUGAGCAAACUCCAUCAUACUUGACUGGUGAAUUCCCUGGUGACUACGGAUGGGACACUGCUGGACUAUCCGCAGACCCUGAGACAUUUGCCAAAAACCGUGAGCUUGAGGUGAUCCACAGCCGAUGGGCCAUGCUUGGUGCACUGGGAUGUGUCUUCCCAGAAAUCCUGUCAAAGAAUGGUGUCAAGUUCGGCGAGGCUGUUUGGUUCAAGGCUGGAUCUCAAAUCUUCUCCGAGGGUGGCCUUGACUAUCUUGGCAACCCAAACCUUGUCCAUGCCCAGAGCAUCUUGGCAAUCUGGGCUGUCCAGGUUGUGCUCAUGGGAUUUGUCGAAGGAUACAGGGUUGGUGGAGGACCACUUGGUGAAGGACUGGAUCCACUUUACCCUGGAGGGGCCUUUGACCCACUUGGACUGGCUGAUGAUCCUGAGGCGUUUGCUGAACUGAAGGUGAAAGAGCUUAAGAAUGGGCGGCUGGCAAUGACUUCAAUGUUUGGAUUCUUUGUUCAGGCUAUUGUAACUGGAAAGGGCCCAGUUGAGAACCUAUAUGACCAUGUUGCUGAUCCAGUUGCCAACAAUGCAUGGGCUUAUGCCACCAACUUUGUCCCUGGAAAAUGAAGAAACCUAAAUGCAUGGCUGUUCAUAUGUAACAUUACCCGAACUUCUUGCCUUUGUUGAGGUUCUGUUGUUGUGGACUCCAUUAGUUCUGAUGUAAUCUUACUAGAAACUGCUUGUAUUGAAAUCACUUAUCCAGUAAAACCGCCCAGCUCCUUUGUGCUUGAACUCCUUAUUUGUCUAGAUGUGUUGAACAUUCAAAAGUUCCAGUCAACAAAUGCAUGCUUUGCUACAAUAUAGUAAAUCUAAACCAGAGAAUAAAUAUAUAACAACCAAAAUACAAGGGAAAAUAAAAAUUAAAACCAAAUCAUAUGAUUAUCAGAUUCAUCUUAGGUUUCUUCAUCUAUUCCUCCCCAUUAGGCAAAUUAAGUUUAACCAGCGCAUACAGAGAAUGUGGGAAAGAUUUCUGCAAACUUUUACCCACUGAACACUGGCUAUCAUCUCUAAUUUUAAUAUCAGCAUAAUGAAGACUGCCUAAGCUAUUAGUAUUACGGACACAUAGUAUAUGGAUUUGGCCAAUGCAGGGUGAAAGGAAUGAUGGGAAGAGCUAUCAUCUCUUACUAUAAUCUCAGUAUAAUGAAGAUUGCCCAAAUAGCUAAGGGCAGCCACAAUCCUGUUGCAAGAAAGGCUGUUUUGGGCUCUGGGCAAGCCAUACUGGUAUCGUGUCGAUAUAGAUGUCAACAUGUUUGUCAUAUGGAUGGUGAUAUGUUAUUUAUAUGGAUGUUGAUAUGUUGUCAGUGUGGAUGUCGAUAUGUUGUUGAGUAUCCCACUCCAGCUACAGUGGAGUGGGAUAUAUGUAUAUAAUAUUACACAAUAAGUGCCCACAAAGAGAAUGUACAAAACAAAGAGAAUCAGAGCACAAAGAGAAUGUAUGAAACAACAAAUUUGGAAAAUUUUCAGCAAACAAACUUUUGCCAACUGAAACUUUUCACAUGAUGGGAGGAGCUAUUAUCUUUCAGUAUAAUGAACAAUUCUUGUAGGGGUAACCAGUAUACAACGAAGAUUGCCUCUAAUACUAAGGGCACCUAGUGUACGAGCCUUCUGCCAAUGCAGGGUGAAAGAAGCGAUGGGAAUGACUAUUAUAUCUCACUGUCACUAUAAAUUCAGACUCUCUGUAUAAGAUAGCCUAUCUUGCACUAGUCUCUGGCCAAUUCAGCAUCUAGGGAGAGCAAGACCUAUGCAGUCAUAUCCCUGUAACAAGGGGGGCUGUUUUUGCUGGGGACAAUCAUUACAUCAAGAAACACCUUCAAGAAUGUCUAUACUGCUAAAUCUCAAAAGGAACACAAAGAAAUGCAUAAAAUCAGAAGAAAUGAUACCAGUGGCCAAUUUUAAGAGUGGAAGAAUAGAGGUAGAGGCAUUCUGAUGCUUAUUGCUUCGAGCAGAUCAACACAAGCGUCAAUGCAGCAGACAAACAAGUCAGUCACCAAAAAUCUUUGCAAGAACAUGACCCAUUUCUGAAAUGAUGGAAACGACUAUUAUCUCUCACAAUAAUCUCACGAUCAUAGAUACUGGAUAGGAGUUUAGUGACAGAGUGGCAAUCGUUACAGACACGAAGAUUCUUUAUAAUGCGAAUAGGACUCCCAGAUUCCAAAUUAAUAAGACCAUAUGCAAUAGCCAAUCUCUCGCUAUGGUUUUCCAAUUCAGCUUCCUUCUCUUUUUCCUCUUCAAGACACAACAGAACUUGACUUGUGUCAGGAACAUGUCCUUCGGAUUUCAGUUUCUCUCUCAUCUCAGUCAACUUAGAAUAUAUGUCUUUUGUCCGAGGAUGUGAUUUGUCACCGACAAUAAACCCAUGAAGCACACCUCUGUGCUCUAUGGAACUGCAUCCUGGGUCCUUUUUUACUCCUCUCUUUCUCAUAAUUUCUCUUACCUGUGAAACUUUCUCCCACUUAUCAGCCGCAGCAUACAUGUUAGAAAGAAGAACAUAGCAUCCAACAGUGUCUGGAGACACGUCAAUCAAAUGGCGAGCUGCAUAAUCACCAACUUCAACAUUUCCCUGGUUCCGAGCACCACUAAGCAAACUCAUCCAAAUUACUUUGUUUGGUUUCAUGGGCAUACCUUCAAUGACAUUCUUUGCCUCGUCCAGACAACCAGCGCGGCAUAAAAUGUCUACAAAACAACCAUAGUGUUCAAUUGUGGGUUCAAUUUCAUAAUCAUUUAUCAUCAGAUUGAAAUAGUAACGACCAAGAUCAACCAAUCCUGCAUGACUACAUGCAUUCAAGACUCCGAUAAAAGUUAUACUAUGAGGGCGCAUUCCAUUUUUGCGCAUCUCAAGGAAUAGCUCAAGAACCUGGUCGGCCAUACCAUGCAUUCCUAAACCAACAAUUAUAGCAGUCCAAUGCCCCAAUUUCUUCCUGUCUAUAGCUCGAAAUACAGCCAGAGCACUCUCUAUGCUCCCACACUUGGAAUACAAUUCUAUCAAUGAUGUACCAAGCACACCAUCUAAAUCAAAUCCAUGUUUUACCAUGAAAGAAUGUAUCCAUCUCCCCUUACUUAGAGUGGCUAAUCCUGAAACGGCAGAAAGAGCACUGACUAAUGUAGCAUGACUAGGCAUAAUAUCUUCUUCCAAAAUUUCCUGAAACAACUCCAAUGCUUCCAUAAACUGUCCAUUAAAUUCAUAACCUGCAAUCAUCGAAUUCCAAGUAAUUAUAUCUCUUGUUGGCAUCAGACCAAACAAUUGACGUGCCAUCUCAAAAUCUCCGGAUUUCAUGUAACCAUUAAUCAUGGCAUUCCAAGAAACCAAAUUUCUAUUUGGCAUCCUAUCAAAUAUCUCCCUAGCCAUCUCUACCUUCCCGCAUUUUGAUAACCCGUCAACUAAAACAGUCCACGAAAAAGAAUCUCUCUCCUGCAUUUGAUCAAACAAUUCCAUUGCAACUUCUACUUCUCCACAUCUCGCAUACCCAUCAAUCAAAGAAUUCCAAGUAACCAAAUCUCUAUCAAGCAUUUGAUCAAACACUUUCCUAGCCAAACCAAUCUCACCACACUUUGAGUAUAAACUAACCAAACUACUCUGCACAAACUUAUCCAAACCAAGCCCAAUUUUCAACACCAACCCAUGAAUCUGUUUCCCUUCCCCAAUCGCAUUUAACCGAGCACAACCCUUUAUCACACACGGUACAGUAAAAUUAUCCGGAACAAGUUCAUGAAGCAAUUCAUAGAACAAAACAAUAGCAUCAUGGGAACGUUGGUUCCCAACAUAGCAUUUGAUGAGAACGUUCCAGGAAACCAAGGUGGGUUCUUCAAUUUGAUCGAAGACGGAGCGAGCAGAGUCAAGAUUGUUGAUUUUGGGGUCUGCGUAGAGAGAUAAGAAACGGGAAGCAAUUGCUGGGUGGCUGAAAGUUCCGGUUUUGAGGGAUAUGGCGUGGUGUUGCUCUGCUUCUCGUUGGGUUUUACAGGUUUGGAGAAGCGAAAAGGGGAGGCUUUGAGGAGAGAGCAAUGGUUGAUGGAGAGAGUGAGAAGGCGUGAGUUGAAGCAUUGCUAUGGCUUUGGUGGAUCAGAUGAUUGACUGAAGGGCUCUGUGUGUGGCUUAUUAUAAAGGGAAAUAGCUCAAAAUAUCACCAAUUUUAUAAUUUUAUGUCAAAAUACCACCCCUUCUCAAAAAUUUUAAAACUAUGACCUAUAAAUACAUUUUUAUUGUAAAUUGAUUGCACCCAUAUCACAUUUUCAGAAAACCUGAGGGGAACUACGGGUUUAGAAUGACUUCGCCUCCGCCUCUUUUCUCGUUCGAUCGUCUACGGCCUCCGCUUCCUCUCUCCUUCGUUCUUCUACGCCCCUGCCUCCGCCUCUGCUUUUUCGAUUGUCUGCCUUCCUCCUCCUCCUCUGCUUUUUCGAUUGUCUACCUUCCUCCUCCUCCUCCUACUUGGCUCUUCUCCUUAGCUAUCAGCUAUUUCAUACCCAGAAGUGUUGGAUCCUGAGCAAGCAGUGAAAGGGCUAUCUGGUAAUCUAAUGACUAAUACUAUUAGUUGGAUAUGCUGUAUGUUUUCUCUUCAAAAUUCUAGAUUUAGUAGGGUUGGCAUACACUAUCAUGACCUGAUAUAUUUUCAGUCUGUUUUAAUUACUGGCUAUUAGGGUGUGGUUUGAAACUUUGACUGAUGGGGUGGGGGAGCUUGGACGGAGUUUUCUUAUUUUUGUGAAAUGGGUUUUGGAGGAUUAGGGAUUUUAGGGGAGUGUGUGAGUUCGCUGUUUUGGUGGAAGAUAUAUGCAGAAGGGUUAUGAUGAUGAUGGGGGUGGGUUUUUGUGUUUUGUUAAUUCUUUUGUUUGUCGGAAGAAGAAUGAGAUAUUUUUCCAACUCUUAUGAGUGAGUUGGGUUCAAAAGCAAUUAUUGUUGGUUUUAUAUUUUGAUUUAUUUGCAACUGUCUUUAUAGAAUUUAAUUUUUAAUAGUAAUAUAUGUAUUCUUCAUGAAUGGUUUUGCUCUGUUCAGGUGCGUCUGUCUACAUGGGUUUGUGCUUGAAGCAUAAUGCAAGUUUUGUUAAUAAAUUCUCUGUUUUAUGCUGUGCAGGUGUGAAUUGGAAUAAAUAAAAAAAAUUUGCUGGGUUUUUGAGACUUGUGAUGUUAUUCAUCAGUAUUCAUGCCUGGUUUCUUCUUGCAAUAAUUUUGUUGAUUGUGAGCUUUUCCCUCUAGCGCUUGUUGCUGAUACUGAUUGUGAAGGUGAAUUGGUUGUGCUUUAUGAUGUUUGAACCUCAUUUCUGUUUCUUCUCUUUCAUGCCAAUAGGUUGUAGGAAACUCCGCUCUCAAACAUAGGCAAUGAACAAUUGAGUUGACAUGCUGCUGGGAGAAUUGUUUGCAAUGCAGAGAAGACUUGUCUCUUACUUUUGUGAUGAUGAACUGGGUGAGAUUCUUUAAGAGUGAUGUGUCAUAUUUGAAUUUUUGAAUAUCAUAUUUUAGUUUUGUUUUUAAGUUUUGAACCUUGUUCUAUUUCAGCAUCCUAUAGACCUGUGUUAACUUAUAUCUACAUGUGAUAUGGAUAUAACUUAUGCUUUCAAAUUAAUUUGACUUGUGUUAUAUCUUGUUUCGUACCUUUGUUUCGAAAAUUUCUUUGUAAAGACCAAAAAGAAUAGUGUGUUUUUUUUUUUGGGUGGUAUUUUUGUUAAUGAUAAUUAUAGUAUUGAUUACUGGGUAGAGAAUGAGCUACAUUUUGUGCUUCAUGAAGUAAAAUGGCUGAGCAACUCAAAUUUGGUUUACACAACCAAGGCAAAAGGAAAAUACUAAUUUUGGAGCUUAUAUAUAGUGGUUAUAUAAGUUGCAGUUUUCGUUACUUGUAAAUCAUGAUUUCCUUAGCGUAUUUAAUUGCAUUGUGUUUCUCGUUUUGGGUAGAACAGAGUUUUCAAUGAUAGGAUUUAUUUGGAAAAAAGGAAUUCUGGUAGUUAUGCUGUGUUCUCUAUUUUUGCAUGAAAGUUGAAAGUAAGAUGUCCCCUUUAUAUGUGUGACAGCUUCAGGAUUAUGGCCUUCGUAUACUGAAGGGAAAUUGCUAUUUGAUCCUGUUAUAUCUUUUAUGGGACAAACAAAUGAGGGAAGUAGUGUUGAUUCAUCACAGAAAGCUGAGUCUUCAGAGCAUCCGCCAAAGGUUGACAAAUCAUCAGGGGAAUCUGAAUCUCCACAAAAACUCUCUACUGUUGAGGCAAAGGAAGGGGUCAAAAUAGAAACUUUACAACACUCUUCAACUGAACAGAUGGCUGAUAAGGAGGAAACUGAAGUUGUCAAGGAAGAAACAGAUGAUAAGCAUGCUGCGACGGUGGAGGAAACAAAGACAGUGAUAGCAGAGCCUGAAAAAUCUGAAUCUGAAUCAUCUUCACUGCCAGUUGAGCCCUUUGAACCCACUGUUAAGAAUGAUGGCCCAUCAGAAUCUGUGGGUUCUCAAGAUGACAACAAGAUUUCAGUAGUGGGACCCUCAGUAAAUCCAGAAACAAUGCAGGGUAAGUCAAGAGCUGUUGAGGUAGAUCAAGUUGAGGAGGGUCAUACUGUUCUCCGCGUGAGGCACAUGAUGUUGAUGUGGAUGAACAAAAGACACAGGUAGAGCAGAAGGAUGGACAUAUGACUCAGGCUGGAGAGAUUGUUGAAACAGUUGCUAUGGUUGAAGCUGAGACUCCAACUGAUAGCCAGCCUGGAGGUUUUCCUCUUUGCUAAUUUAGAAUCAUGUGCAGUUAUGAUUUUAGAUCUGUAGAUAACCUGUUGUUGCUGAUAUUGCUACACGGGAGGAGAACAGAACAACUUGGAAAAUGUGCAAGAAGGGAGAGCUAACUCAUACAACGAAGAACAAAUUGAUGAAGUUAAGAUCAAAUUAGUAGAAUUUGUGAGCUCUCCAUUAUUUAUAAUUAUAGGUAGGAAGUAUGUAUGUAAUAGAGCAAAGAUUGGUUGACUAUGUAAUAACAAUUGAAUUGUCAAGUUUUAUGAAAGAAAUAAUUUUUGCUUCUUGGGAUAGUAUUGUUAGGGUUCGGUGGCGAUUUAUUUUCCAUGUCUAAAUUGUAGUCUGUAAUGGAUGUGUGUGUAUUGUAUGUAGAUUGACUUAAUAUUGCUGUCCUAUUGCAUGUGUAUUGUACUAAUAUUGCCUGUGUAUUGUAUACAUAUUGUAUGCAUAUUGCCAUCGUAUUGCAUGUAUAUUGUAAUGCUAUUGCUAUCGUAUUGCCAUUAUAUUGCCCUAAUAUUGCCUCUCUAGUGUAUGUAUAUUGACUACGGCUCAUCAAUGGGUUUACGGUUUGGGCCAUAUUGCAUUUAAAAAUAAGACGAGGAGGAGAAAGAAACAACAUGCCUUUCAAAAACAGGCAGUCAGGUGCAUCAUAAUUGCAUCGUAAGACAUUGUAAGAAAUUAUUUUAAAAAAUAAUAACAACUAAAAAAUAAUUUACAAAAAAAGGAAGGUAUGAAUAAAGAGACAGAGAGCGAAUAAGGGGAGAAAGAGGCAGAACGAAGCUAGAGAGAGACAGAGAGAGAGCUGCGCUACAGAAAGAGAGCAAAGAGAGAGUUGCACUAGAGAGAGAGAGAGAGAGAGAGAGAGAGAGAGAGAGAGCCAAGAGAGAGAUAGAGAGCUGCGAUAGACAGAUACCAAAGAGAGAGAGAGAUGUGCUAGAGAGAGAGAGCCGAGUGAGCUAAGAGAGACAAAAUUUCUGAACAUGUGAAAAAUCAGCAAUAAGUGGACAAUAAUUAUAUUUUUAUAGGUGAUAUUGUAAUACUAUUGCUAUCGUAUUGUGGUUAUAUUGCUUUCAUAUUGCCUCUAUAGUGUACAUGUAUUGGCCUAAUAUUGCUAUCAUAUCGUAUGUCAAUGGCCAUUUGGUCUAAUAACAGAGUCUCCACUUCGUUGAAAAGUAAUCCUGAAUUCGAAUCUCAUGGACACGACAAUUGUUAUCCAUCCUUAUAUUAGCAUGAAUUGAUGUUGACCUUUGAAAUGAUAGUUGGAGUUGCACAUCGAUUCAUAUUCAAAAGGAAAGUAAUUCUCUCCCUCAAUGAAUCUUCGUUCAAAAGAAGGCAGCUAUCAAAUAUUGGUACAAAAAUGCAAGGUCCACAGUAAAUUAAUUGGACACAAACCACAUAUUACAAAACUAGGAUGAUUUUUGGCAUGCUUGAAAAGACAAGGGCCAAAUACAACAGAAAAGAAAAUCCAUUCAAGCUUCACACUAAACAUGGCUCAAGCACUCGACCAUGGUUUCAAUCCAAAACCUACCCAACAAGGGCAUACCACGUGUCCAUCAUAACAUAAUAGUGGCAUUUACAAAGCAUGAACUGCAAUAUGUUUCUUUUUCUCCUAAACAAAAUUGUUACUAAAAUGGAACAAAAGAUCCCUAACAUAGAGCAAUACAUGCAAAGAUAGUCAAUUGUCAUACACACAAAAUUAGUCCUCAUCCAUCCCUGCAUGCUGAUCUCUCUCACUAGGGCCACCUGCUGGUUUUGCCAUUAUAAUCUGCAAGAUAGUCAAAGCACUGUCAACAACCUUUUUUUAAUGAAGGUAUUAAACAUUAAAUAGGCUGCAAUCAGAUGGAUUCAUCAUUUCUCACAGAUUUUUAGCUAGCCAGAAAACCCCCAACAUAUAGAUUUUCUAUUUACUAUCCCUCCAUCCAGACCAUUGGUCAGAUGCGGUAAUGGUAUUUUUCAUAGUACCAUCUGUCAAAGUAUAUAUGACAGUUACUGACAUCAUGGAUGCACACAAAUGUUGUUUAUCUAACUCUACUGCAACUAGAGUUGUCACAAUCUUCCUCUUUCUCUUUCGAUCCAUGUCUACCCUGCCAUUAACAAUAUUGGCAAGAACAAAAUCAUAAUCUGUGACUUUCUUUUUUAUACUCAAACAUAAACUGAUUAUCAGAAAUUGCAGAACAUAGAAUUAUGGUGACAGAGAAGCACCACAUACCUGUUGGGUUGUUGUUGCUGCUGCUUAGACCCACUUUCAGCAGCUCCCUUUUGGUUCAAUAGCAAGUUUCAAUUUCAACUCAACUCUUAUGUCAAAAUUGCUUGCUACAACCUGCAAGAUAAGCAUAAUCAGCAGGAUUAAUACAAAGCAUUGUUGGCCAUGGCAUUGAAAGUUCUAAUACCAAUGAUGAGAACAGAGAGAAAUUAAAAAAAACAUUCUUUCUUAUACUCAAACAAAAACUGAUUAUUAGAUUAUAUGCAAAUUUAAUGUCAAUUCUCCAGACCACUUAAUGGCAUAAUUACUCGCUUGAAAUAGGAGAGAGAAAUACUAGAUAUGGAAUCACCUACUCCGCCAAUCAAUCUAAUUCUUGAUCUUCAUGAAUCGGAUCAAUUCAAAUACCCACGUCUUAAUAAAUACAUAGGAUGUACAGAAGACUAGCAAUACUGAUUUCAAUGCCAUGGCCUUUUUCCCUAUUUCCUUAACAGAGUUAAUAUGGGUUAAUAUUACAUGCACCCAUACAUCAUCAUAUUGGAUAUCAUGCUCUGUAACACCAGCUUGCAUCAUAUUCAACACAUUCCAAUUUGUCCAUACAUCAUUCAUGAUAAAAACACACUAUUCUUUUUGGUCUUUACAAAGAAAUUUUCGAAACAAAGGUACGAAACAAGAUAUAACACAAGUCAAAUUAAUUUGAAAGCAUAAGUUAUAUCCAUAUCACAUGUAGAUAUAAGUUAACACAGGUCUAUAGGAUGCUGAAAUAGAACAAAGUUCAAAACUUAAAAACAAAACUAAAAUAUGAUAUUCAAAAAUUCAAAUAUGACACAUCACUCUUAAAGAAUCUCACCCAGUUCAUCAUCACAAAAGUAAGAGACAAGUCUUCUCUGCAUUGCAAACAAUUCUCCCAGCAGCAUGUCAACUCAAUUGUUCAUUGCCUAUGUUUGAGAGCGGAGUUUCCUACAACCUAUUGGCAUGAAAGAGAAGAAACAGAAAUGAGGUUCAAACAUCAUAAAGCACAACCAAUUCACCUUCACAAUCAGUAUCAGCAACAAGCGCUAGAGGGAAAAGCUCACAAUCAACAAAAUUAUUGCAAGAAGAAACCAGGCAUGAAUACUGAUGAAUAACAUCACAAGUCUCAAAAACCCAGCAAAUUUUUUUUAUUUAUUCCAAUUCACACCUGCACAGCAUAAAACAGAGAAUUUAUUAACAAAACUUGCAUUAUGCUUCAAGCACAAACCCAUGUAGACAGACGCACCUGAACAGAGCAAAACCAUUCAUGAAGAAUACAUAUAUUACUAUUAAAAAUUAAAUUCUAUAAAGACAGUUGCAAAUAAAUCAAAAUAUAAAACCAACAAUAAUUGCUUUUGAACCCAACUCACUCAUAAGAGUUGGAAAAUAUCUCAUUCUUCUUCCGACAAACAAAAGAAUUAACAAAACACAAAAACCCACCCCCAUCANNNNNNNNNNNNNNNNNNNNNNNNNNNNNNNNNNNNNNNNNNNNNNNNNNNNNNNNNNNNNNNNNNNNNNNNNNNNNNNNNNNNNNNNNNNNNNNNNNNNNNNNNNNNNNNNNNNNNNNNNNNNNNNNNNNNNNNNNNNNNNNNNNNNNNNNNNNNNNNNNNNNNNNNNNNNNNNNNNNNNNNNNNNNNNNNNNNNNNNNNNNNNNNNNNNNNNNNNNNNNNNNNNNNNNNNNNNNNNNNNNNNNNNNNNNNNNNNNNNNNNNNNNNNNNNNNNNNNNNNNNNNNNNNNNNNNNNNNNNNNNNNNNNNNNNNNNNNNNNNNNNNNNNNNNNNNNNNNNNNNNNNNNNNNNNNNNNNNNNNNNNNNNNNNNNNNNNNNNNNNNNNNNNNNNNNNNNNNNNNNNNNNNNNNNNNNNNNNNNNNNNNNNNNNNNNNNNNNNNNNNNNNNNNNNNNNNNNNNNNNNNNNNNNNNNNNNNNNNNNNNNNNNNNNNNNNNNNNNNNNNNNNNNNNNNNNNNNNNNNNNNNNNNNNNNNNNNNNNNNNNNNNNNNNNNNNNNNNNNNNNNNNNNNNNNNNNNNNNNNNNNNNNNNNNNNNNNNNNNNNNNNNNNNNNNNNNNNNNNNNNNNNNNNNNNNNNNNNNNNNNNNNNNNNNNNNNNNNNNNNNNNNNNNNNNNNNNNNNNNNNNNNNNNNNNNNNNNNNNNNNNNNNNNNNNNNNNNNNNNNNNNNNNNNNNNNNNNNNNNNNNNNNNNNNNNNNNNNNNNNNNNNNNNNNNNNNNNNNNNNNNNNNNNNNNNNNNNNNNNNNNNNNNNNNNNNNNNNNNNNNNNNNNNNNNNNNNNNNNNNNNNNNNNNNNNNNNNNNNNNNNNNNNNNNNNNNNNNNNNNNNNNNNNNNNNNNNNNNNNNNNNNNNNNNNNNNNNNNNNNNNNNNNNNNNNNNNNNNNNNNNNNNNNNNNNNNNNNNNNNNNNNNNNNNNNNNNNNNNNNNNNNNNNNNNNNNNNNNNNNNNNNNNNNNNNNNNNNNNNNNNNNNNNNNNNNNNNNNNNNNNNNNNNNNNNNNNNNNNNNNNNNNNNNNNNNNNNNNNNNNNNNNNNNNNNNNNNNNNNNNNNNNNNNNNNNNNNNNNNNNNNNNNNNNNNNNNNNNNNNNNNNNNNNNNNNNNNNNNNNNNNNNNNNNNNNNNNNNNNNNNNNNNNNNNNNNNNNNNNNNNNNNNNNNNNNNNNNNCGUUCAGCAGCAACUCGGCGAGUCGACUCACCAUCCUCCCCAACUACCAACCAAGCCCCUCAUUCCAAAGGGCUCUGAAAACCUAAGAAAAAUCCAAACUUUACCAUCUUCGAAAACCCCUCAUGACCUCUCCAUAGCUCGACAUGUUAAAGCCCCUCAAAACCCCACCUCUCCUUCACCUACAAACCCUCCAUUCGCUAUUGGGUUCCCACCAUUUUAUCGAAUUCGCAUCAAGAACCAAGCUUUUCUCCCAACUCUCUCAUCCACCCUUCAAUCCUGCCCCAAACUUGGUGUUCCAAAUCCGUGACAUUCUGUGCGACCCUCAAUGGGAAAAGAGCUCAGAGCUCAGCUGGCUGAGCCCUAAGAUUAGAACCGAUCAUGUGUCAAAGAUUAUUGAGACCCACAAGAACACAGACUCGGCGUUAAGAUUCUUCUACUGGGUUUCUAAGAGACCUUCUUACCAGCAUGAUAUGAGCUGCUUCUCAUCAAUGCUGAAUAGGCUUGUGAACGAACGGCUUUUUGCGCCUGCAGACCGUGUGAGGAUUUUGAUGAUUAAAGCUUCUAGGAAGGAGGAAGAGCUUAAACGGGUAACUGAAUAUUUGAAUGAGAUGAGCCGACUUGGUUUUGAGUUUACAUUGUAUAGUUUUAAUACGCUUUUGAUUCAAUUGGGUAAGUUUGAGAUGGUUAGUAUAGCUCAAAAUGUUUAUACCCAGGUGCUAAGUAGUGGGAUUAAACCGAGUUUGUUGACAUUUAAUACAAUGCUCAAUAUAUUGUGUAAGAAGGGCAAGGUUCAGGAAGCAGAGUUGAUUUUGAGCAAGAUUUUUCAGUUUGAUAUGCUCCCGGAUGUUUUUACUUAUACAUCAUUGAUUCUUGGGCAUUGUAGAAAUCGUAACUUAGAUUUGGCAUUUGAGGUUUACGAUCAGAUGGUGAAGGCAGGUUGUGACCCGAAUUCAGUUACGUAUUCAACUCUUAUCAAUGGGUUAUGCAAUGAGGGGAGGGUGGAUGAGGCACUGGAUAUGCUUGAUGAAAUGGUAGAAAAAGGGAUUGAACCCACAUCAUAUACUUACACUGUCCCAAUUGCUUCACUAUGUGAGGCCGAUCGGCUGGUGGAAGCAAUUGGGCUUUUCAGAAGAAUGAGAAGCAGGGGUUGCCAUCCUACCGUUCAUACUUAUACAGCUUUGAUCAGUGGGUUGUCUCAGACGGGGAAACUCGAUGUUGCUAUUGGACUCUAUCACAAGCUUUUGAAGGAUGGUUUGGUCCCAAACACGGUUACCUUCAAUACAUUGAUAAAUGGAUUAAGUGAGACAGGAAGAUAUGACCUGGCUACGAAGAUUUUUUAUUGGGUGGAGAGACAUGGGACCUUGGCAAAUACCCAAACUCACAAUGAAAUCAUCAAAGUUUUCUGUUUGAUGGGUAACAUUAAUAACGCAAUGGCUCUUGUAAGCAAAAUGCUUAAAGUGGGACCAUCUCUAAAUGUGAUUACAUAUAACACACUCAUCAAUGGAUACCUCAGUGGAGGUCAGUUAAACAAUGCUAUGAGGUUGUUGGAUUUUAUGAAAGGGAGUGGAUGUGAACCAGAUGAAUGGACUUAUACUGAACUUAUUUCUGGGUUUUGCAAGGCAGGUAAGUCUGACUUUGCAUCUACUCUUUUCCGUGAGAUGGUAGAACAAAGAAUUAGUCCCAGUCAGGUUACCUACGCUGCUUUGAUUGCUGGAUACUGUAUGGAGGGGAAAGUAGAUACUGCAUUGUCAUUAUUUGAGCAGAUGGAGGAGAAGGGUUGCUGUCCAAGUAUUGAAACCUACAAUGCCAUUAUAAAUGGUUUGUCCAAAGAUAAUCAGUUUGUUAAAGCUGAGAAACUAUGUAAAAAGAUGGAAAAGCAAGGACUGGUUCCAAAUGUCAUUACCUACACGUCUCUAAUUUGCGGCCUCUGUAAAAGUGGCAGGACUGACCUUGCAUUCAAAAUCUUCCAUGAAAUGGAAGAACAAGGUUGCUUGCCGAACUUGUAUACAUAUAGCUCACUCAUGUUUGGGUUAUGUCAAGAGGGCAAGGCUGACAAUGCUGAGACGUUGCUUGAUGAAAUGGAAAGGAAAGGAUUGGCUCCUGAUGUGGUAACAUUUACCACACUCAUUGAUGGUUUUGUUAUGCUUGGUAGGCUAGAUCAUGCAUUCUUGCUUCUUAGGCGAAUGGUUGAUGUGGGCUGCAGGCCCAACUACCGAACAUAUGCCGUGUUGGUCAAAGGGUUGCAAAAGGAAAGUCAGUUGCUGACGGAGAAGGUUGUGGGGCUUGUGGCCCAACAUGAAGGAAUGUAUAGUUGCAGCUCUGGUGAAAGCUAUAACUUUUUUGAGGCGUUGUGCAAUCUCUUAGCUAGGAUGUCAGAGAAUGGAUGUGAACCUACUGUUGAUACCUAUGGUACUUUAGUGAGAGGCUUGUGUACAGAAGGCAGAUAUUAUGAGGCAGAUCAGUUGGUUCAGCAUAUGAAAGACAAAGGCCUGUGCCCCAAUAGAAGGAUUUAUCUGUCUCUAUUCUUUGUUCAUUGUACGAAUUUAAAAGUGGAAUCUGCGCUGGAAAUCUUUGGCUUGAUGGAAGAUAAUGGAUUUGAGGUUCACUUGUCAGCUUAUAACGCACUUAUUAGUGCUCUCGGCAGGGUGUGUCGGGCGGAAGAAGCUGAAACUUUAUUCAAAAGCAUGCUAGAAAAACAAUGGAAUACUGAUGAGAUUGUUUGGACUGUGUUAAUCGAUGGAUUACUGAAGGAAGGGCAAUCAGAUCUAUGCAUGAAGCUUCUUCAUGUUAUUGAAUCUCAAAAAUGCAGUAUCAGUUUCCAGACAUAUGAUAUCUUGGCCAGAGAACUUUCUAAAGUAAACAAGGGUAGGGGGAGUUCUCAAAUUGUUAACAGAGCAAGUGAUUUAAAGGGUGUACAUUGAUCAUGGUUUCUUUAUACACACAGAGAAAAAGGAAAUUCGUUAACUGAGUUCCAUUAAUGAACUAAUAAGAAAUUAUACUUUUUUCGCCUGAGGUGUGUAUAUAUUCUUUUGCUGUGACAACUUUGCAGUUUGAUCAUACAAUAAAUGGUAUGUAGAUGGCGCUUUGCCUUCAAACCUUGUUAACAUUCGUUUCUUUCUAUUACUGUCUUUGGUGAUUAUCAGAAUACUUUAGUUCUGUUGGCUUUUGAUUAAUUUGGUCGCAAUAUUUUCCCAAUAGUCACCAAGAAAAUUCGAUCGAUGGUUACUAAGUUUGUUAUCCUAUCUACAUGGAAGUGACAGGUUGUUUUCAGUAGAUAAUUGUCUUCAGUUGGAACUGAAAAUCUGGUGUGCAUGAAGCAGCAACCUAAGGUAGACAUGUAGGUUUGUUUAGACAAAGUAUAAAUGAAUGAUAUUUGCCAUUUAUGUGGGUUGAUGGUUGGUGCAGGACUGUGUGUACUGUUUGGCAAUUGAUUUAGGGGUUAGGAUAAUUUCUGCCUAUGCAGGCUUUUUAAUUACAUGGAUUAUCUUAUGUAGGAAGGCUUCUUAAUACAGAAAUGGUGAUGUGUGUGAUCAUCUAGGCAGGCUUCUUAAUUACAUGGAUAAUCUUCUUUAUGGUGCUCAUUUGGUUGGUUUUCAUUGUUUGACAUGCUUACACCAUAUUUAUUCUGGCUUAGUGUUUAUAAAAUGGAAUUGAGAGCUAGACAUUCUUGGCAUAUAUACUUGCAGGUGACACAGCUUGGACGUCCCCUAGUGGAAAGUUUCCUCUUUCCUCUGAAAAUUUUGACAAGAAGAUGUUAAGAUACACCUUGUUUGAUACCUAUGUUGGUUUAUUUCGCUGUCGUUACCUCAUACAAUUUUGAUUCAUUGUAUUCUUUACACCAAGAGUCAUUUAUAAAAUAUACCUCAGUUUUACAAUAGCAUAUGUUAUGGUUCAUUUAGUAAAUUUUGGUUUUAUGUUUUAGUUUUAGCUUUGAUGGUCAAAAUCAUCCUCUUCUUUUUUUGAUCUCUCUCUCGUCUCUUUUUUCCUUCUCUCUGUUAUUCUUUUCAUAAGAAAAAGAAAUAUAGAAACUAAAAGCAAAAAAUCUAACCAAAUUCCCAUGGGAUGGUCUCUUGAUUCUGUAUCGGCAAGUAUAACUAUUUUACUGUGAAUUAUCAACAAAAAGUAAUCUGCAGUUGCCACUGAUUUAAAUCAACUUAAAUAAUGUCUGUGAUUCAGAAUUCCAGGAUAAAUUAUGCUUUGUAGUUGACGUGAUGAAAUUAAUUUAAUUAGACAUUUUUGGUGUAGGGUUACUCAGGUCCUAAAUCGAGCUUAAUUUCGCACCAGGGCUCUUAGAAAGAACUACUGGCCAAGAUUACCGAACUUAGUCCACUUUUUGUAAUCUGCCUCUGAGUGUUCUAAUGCAAAUGCCAGUAUGUGUGGCCACUUUCCGAAUGUGGUGUUCAAUUUUUUUAAUUUUCCCAAAGGAUGAUAGUACUCUAAAUCUUUGUAGGGUUUUUUAUUGGGGUCGAGAUGAGCUCAGAGUUCGCUUUUUUGUCACUUUCUUUGUGUUUUGCUGAUCUUUGCCUAGUAUUUGCUGGGAUUCCCACUCCUUAAAUGAAGAAGGGUGGAAUGAAUAAAGGCUUGGUUCAUGCAUGAAGACCCUAAUAUUUCCUAUACACAAGUGAUAUUUUAUGGGUAUGAACUAUAUUGUGGAUCAAUCUAGAAAGGUAAAAACGCAUUCAUUAUGGUGUGAGUUCUAGUGUUCUCACCUUUCCUCCAAGUCUAAACCUAUACAAACCCCCGAGUAUGAGAAACCCUUUGAGUGAAAAGUAAAUUAUUAUGUGUAUGCAAGAGAGAAUUUUGUGGUGAAAAUCCCUGGAGGUGAUUUUGGAAGAAACUCUGGCUUCCCGGCAGUCAGUUCUUGUGAGAUUGUUCCUUUGUAAUCCUUGGUAUCUUCUAGUCCUGUCCACAAAAAAAUUCUUGUAAUUCCAUCAUUUUAUAUAGAAAAGAAGAAUUUGUUCCUGUCCUUCUACUAUUCAGUGGACAAAAGGCUCAAAUGCUAAGGAUGUAAUUCCAUUGUUUUUAUGUUUGAUGAUGUUUGCCUGUUUUGGCCAUACAAGGAUGGGAAAGUUUGAUCUUGAGUUUGCUAAUUGUCUUUUGGCAUUGUAUUAGGUGACUCUGGUUCUCAAAUGUAUAAUGGUUCAACCCCAGUUUCCAAUCCUAUCAUGGAACUGAAAAAUAAAUUUCUAAAAUUUUUGAUUGAGCCUGCAGUGUCUGAAAAAUUAUAACCACAUGCCACCAAUCUGAUUAUAUUCGUCCAAUUUGCAGUAGAUUUUCUAUCUCCGAACCUCUCUACUAAAACCCUGCAAUUAACUGAUCAUGCAUAUUGUAAGUAGUAAACUACUCUGAAAAUGAGGUUCUAAGUUGAAAUCUUUCUUCCUCUAAUAAACGAAUAAAAACUUAUAGUUCAUGAAAGGAUGAAAUUAAAAUUAGUUAGUUUAAAGAUGUGGUUGAAGCUAUAGAUAAAUGGAUCAAAAAAAUCAGUUUUUUUUUUUGGGUAAAUAAUAAAUAUACUAAACCGGGGUUGGGGAAAUUCUCAUAUCAAGAAGAAACUAAAGAGAAACCUAUCAGAACCACAUGGUGUGGUGCGGUUGGUAAAGUGUCACCUCCAGUUGACGAGUUACCUAUUGCCUCAUUAGCAUGGGUUCGAAACCCGUUAGAGGUACUUUGUGGUCAGGGAAAGCCGAAUCCCGAGCGGGGAUUAAUCUCAUCCUUUGAAUGCGAGGACAUCUCGUGGUAUUUAUCCAAAAAAAAAACAGAAGGGAAAAAAACCUAUCUGUAACUAAGAGAUGUGAGUUUCCAUGCAUUUCAGUAAAUAUAACAAAAUAGUUUUAAACUUUUGAAGAUUCUAGUUUCAUAAGACAUUGAUAUACUUGUCUAAUCGUAUCAUUUUCUCUCCAAAAAAAUCAAUAAUAAAUAAAUGAUAUUCUCCUACUACUGGUUUUUGGGUUCAAGUGCUUGGUUUUCAAGGAAGAAAACAAAGGGGGGCCAUCCACUACCAGAAAGGUUUAUGCUUUUGUUGAUUGAUUCUUGACAGAAUCUCUGGGUUGCUUGGACCCCCACAUGGCCUCCAUUAUAUGACUUGCUCUUUGUCACGCAUGAGCAAUUAUUGGCUCUUUGGUCAGUGUACCAUUUUGUAGUUAUACUCAAUCAUUUCAUACAAAAACCAUUAUCAUUUCAACUCUGCAAGCAUCUCUCAACUUUGUUAUUUUCUUUUCUUUUCUUGUUGCUGCAAAACCAUUCUGAGUUUUUGUUCUUGGGUUUUAUAAAGAAAUUAAUUUAAAAAUAUAAAUAAAUAAAUAUAUAUAUAUAUAUUUAUAACCCUUGUGAAUUUAUAAUAGUUGAAGCCUGAUUCAACUGGUUUGAUCACUUUCCACCAAAUAAAAAAUAAAAAAUCAAGGCCUUGCUCAGCACCAACGUUGCCCUUUUUCUCUGCUGCCAUAGGUCAACUACCAGUUUCUAACAAAACAACUCCAAAUCUGAGUAUAAAUGCUAAAAGGGCUCUGUUGUAUUCUGCAUAUAUUCUCUGUUUCCUUCCUCAUUUCAUGCAAACCUAUCCUAUCUCGUAGACCCCAAAAACAAGCAACAAUAAGAAUGGUAGGUCUCAGUUUUGGUGUGUAAAUUGACCACAAAACUUAAAGAUGUAAAUGACAAACAGAAAUGUAGCCUCUGGUUUAGUGAGCUUUUAUUAUAUUUCUAAUGCCAGCCCUUCUUCAGCUGCAUAUACAAAGUGCAUGAAAAAUGCAGGGCAAGGAAGGAUGCCUUUGUAUUUUUUUCCAUGUGCAAAGGGUCCCCAUAAAAAACAUCAGUACUUCAAAUAUAUUCCUUCUGAUCUUUGUCUUUUCUAUGCAUCCCCAUCUUCAAUUCAUGAACUUCAUUUUCAAAAGGCCAAGACUUUGAAGGCCAGGUUUCAUAGCAGGUACAAAAAAGAAUCAAUAUUCCCCCAAAGGCCACAUAAAGAUAAAUCAGAGUCAUCGAUGCCAACAGUGUCUUAAAAGACAACAAGACACAAAGCAUGACCUAACAUUUGAUGCUUCCAAACUCCAUUCCAACUGCUACUUCCAUUUUCAUUUUGGACUGUUUUUCUUGCACUCUUGCUUUUUCAAAAAGUGCUUUUGCCUACCCAUCCACCAACCCAGCCUUCUCUAGACUAGCCUUUAAAUCUUUCCCUUUGGAUUUUUGUUGCACAGCAGCCGAUUCUUAUUUAUAUUACAUCAUCCAAAAUAAACUACAAAAACCCAAUUUGCACAUUUUAAUGCCAAACUGAACACAACCCUUGUGCUAUAUAAACACAUCCAAUGCAUUUUGCCCCUUCAGCACCAAUUAUAGCAAAAAACAACAAAAACACCACCAACCCUUCAAGGCUUCAAAGUUCAUCAAACUCUGGUUUUCAAUGGGUAGGGAAAGUUCUGAUCCCACUGUGGUUAGUUCCUCCAUUGCUCUCUUACAAGAGAGGUUCAGACAGUUGCAGAAAGUGAAGGAGAGGAGGGAGGAGCAGCAGCUUCUGAAGAUGUUAUCUGAGACUGAUCAUCAUCAUCAAGGGGUUGGCUCAAUAAGGCAUUUUGAGCCUGCAAAAUUCUCUAUCCAAUCUGAUAUGGCCAGGCCAAGCUCUCCUGCAGAUCACUCACUCUCUCUGGGGCUUAAUUUGCAGACUAGACAAAUUGAUCAUUGUGCCAUGAAGACACAGCCUACCACAAUCUCAUGGCCCAACAAUACAACAGCUGCCUCAGCAUCAAGUGCUUCAAAAUGUUUUGACAAUUCAGACCUUGACACCUCUCUUCAUCUGUAGACAAAUCCUGGGUUCACUUUCUUCGUGGCUUCUCCAUGUUUCCUUUUUUUGUAUGUAAUAUUAGAAGAGUAUGUAACUAAUAUAACUAAUGUUUAUUCAUCUGAAAUAAUGAGAUAAAUAAAAGAAGAAAUGGAGCAGCAAUAUGCUAGCUGCUCUUCUCUUCAAUUUUUUGGCCCUUUUGUUGGUUUUGCUUAACAACAUUAACAAAUCAUGGGGACUAUAGAGAGAUUCAUAAUCAAGAAAAAUGGAUUGGGAGGUGAUGGGUUUCUUUUGUUCUGUUAAAAAAAAUAAUAAAAACAACUUCUGAAGAUUCAUAUCAACAUAUAUAUGUUCUUUUCUUAUAUUGAUUUUGAGUUUGUGAAGACUGAUGGUGAUGAACAAAAAAGUCAGCAAGGCCUGCUAGAUUCCUCAUAAACUUACCAUGCAGAUGUACUCAGUUAGAAAUUCCUAACACCACUGAUUGUUUAUGCUUUCUAUGGAUUACUUUCGGAGCAAAUACUUGGAACCAGAUAUUAUUAUUAGAGUUCUAGCUCUUGCUAGUGUAUUUUUAAUGAACCUUUCCUAUAAUAAGCAAAUUCUCAUAGCAACAUGGUCAGAUCUUUUAGGAAAAUGAAGUGCUAAUAAAUUGAAAUCUCCUGAUAACCAAGUUGUGAAGGUUAAUUUUCAUGUAUAUGUUAAGAAUAGGAAUAGCCUUUGAGAAAGAGAAAUAAAUCAAGGCAUAGUGAAAUUUCUAUUUUGUUAUAUUGGAAGUUAUCAUACUUUAACCUAUUCCAAAAGCCAACGGGCUUUAGCCCAGUAGAAAAUGAAUUUCACUUGUAGACCAGUGGUCUCAGGUUCAAAUCCUUAUGACACCUUAGUAUUGUGCGUGCCAUAUUUGGCUCUCUCCCUACUAUCGCUUGUAUUAAAAAACAUAUUCAAAAAGAAAGCAACUAUUACUGAGUCUAACUAGGCCGAGAACAGUUGUUAUUACUGAGGUGCUCCCUCUUAUUACUGAGAUUUUAGUUGAUGAUGCUUGUAUUUUGGCUAGGCCUAAAAUGUUUGCUAUUUAUUUCUCCACUUCAAUUUUAUCCACUUACACUCCUUUUUUAGUUAUAAAAUGGAGUGUAAGUGGAUAAAAUUGGAGUGGAGAAAUCACCACUCUUAUAUUUUUAAGUAAUAAUCUAAAUUAUACUAAAUUAAUUUAAUUUAUGAGAAUAUAAAUUCGAACUUGGGGAUUCGAUUUUUUUUUUUUUUUAAAAGUGAAAUAAAAAAUUUCAGUCACAAAUGAUUGACCCAAACUGAUCUGCAAUCUGGGCAGGGUAUUUAGCUGAGACUAAAUGAGUUAUUGGGCUCAUAUCAAAAGCGCCUACAAACCUAACCACUCAAAAUACACAAUAAUAGAAAAAUUUUAGUUUCAUCAUUUUAUUGAAGUACCAAAUUGCCCUUAUCGUCUCCAGAACCUUCCCAAACCCCCUCUCCGCGUCUCUCUAUCAGAAACCCCAACUAAAACCCUAACACCUCUCUCCACUCUUUAUCCCUCUGUCACUCACAACUCAUUGCUCUCUCUCCAUCUCUUGGCCUUCGCCAUCCAUCUAUCUAUCUCAAACCAAUAUGCAUAGGCUUCCUCGACGCUCCGUCUCCGCUAUCCUGCGCCACGGCGGCGCACGUCACCGGACCACCGCUGCUCCAAUCUCCUGCGCUUCUACCCACUUGGGUUCGGUGCGUUCUCUAUAACUCUUGGGUUUAGCUUUUUACGCUUUGAGAAAAUGAUUAUAUAUAAAAAAUCAUCUGAAUUUUUAUGUGUAUUUGUGUAGGUGGGAGAAACUGAUGCCAAAGUGAGAUGGCACUCAGCGUUGGCCUCUGGGAAGUUUAACCCUUGCAAACCCACGGCUCAGUUUGCCUCCAACAAUGGACUGUGCUUUGGCAACCGGUUUGAGUCCACUGCUGCAGCCUCUGAUGCAUCGGCCGAGCCUCCCGCUGAGAGAUUCGAGUAUCAAGCUGAAGUAAUGUCAUUUCACCUGUUGGGUAUUUUUUAGAUUGAUUUUGAGGAUCAAUGGUUUUGAGAGUGUUGUUUUCUUCAUGGUUACAGGUCAAUCGCCUCAUGGACCUCAUUGUUAACAGCUUGUACAGUAACAAGGAGGUGUUUCUUAGAGAGCUUAUCAGGUACCUAUUUGGUAUAUCUGAUAUUAUGUAGUAUUGAUUGUCAUUUCUUUCCUAUUGGGUUACCUUGAGAGUCCGAAAAUUGCGAUUGGACAGGUGGAGCCUGAAUUGAUCAUACAUUGGAAUUUGAGUUAACAGUACUAAACACACAUUGGAAUUCAAGAAAUAGUUGUUGUGUUUGAUUUAGGUGGCACUAAGUUAUUUAGCGUAUGAUAUGUUGACAUUAUGAAUUUUUCUGCAGCAAUGCAAGUGAUGCCUUGGACAAGCUCAGGUUUCUCAGUGUUACGGAGCCUGAUCUUUUGAAGGGUGGAGGUGAUCUUGAUAUCCGUAUCCAGACUGAUAAAGACAAUGGGAUCAUACAUAUCAUGUAAGCUUAACUGGUUUUUACAGUAUUUUCUUUCCCUUAAUGAUUCUUCUUCACCAUAUCAAUGGUGUGGUCUUUCCCUUUGUGUGAAGUGAUUCUGGUAUUGGUAUGACUCGGCAAGAACUUGUUGACUGCCUGGGAACAAUUGCACAAAGUGGGACCGCAAAGUUCUCAAAGUUGUUGAAGGUAUAAUAAGUCUUUGAGAUAUUGUAAGUUAUUUGAAUUUGAGAUCCUGCAUUGAGGUAUUUUAUAUGCUUACAAAUUUGGUUUAUCAGGAUAGUAAAGAUGCGGGUGGUGACAACAAUUUGAUUGGUCAGUUUGGUGUUGGCUUUUACUCGGCAUUCCUUGUUGCUGAUCGGGUAAGUUCUUAACCAGAAAACUGUGAGCUCCUACGACUUUUAAUCCGUUGCUUUCUUCUUUCAGUCAAGUGGCUGAAUAUAUAAUAGUGUUGGGGUAGUCCUCCCACUCCCCAAGUUUCUGCCUACCCUUUCCAUUAAGAGUUGAAACUUGUGUAUAGAAAUAUCUGAACUGCUCGAUUGUUAUGCACCUCCUGUGGGUUGUAGGUUGUCGUCUCCACAAAGAGCCCAAAAUCUGACAAACAAUAUGUAUGGCAAGGAGAGGCAAAUGCUAGCUCGUAUACAAUUCAGGAGGAGACUGACCCUGAGAAGCUUAUUCCUAGAGGAACCCGCCUGAGCUUGUAUCUCAAGGUCAGUGUAAAACAUUUUUUAACUUAUGAAUAAAUAAAUAAAACCCUGUAUAAUUUGCCUAUGACUUUGAUCUCCAAGCUAAUUCUUUAUCUGUCUGGCUACUUUCAGCGUGAUGACAAAGGUUUUGCUGUUCCAGAACGGAUACAGAAGCUUGUGAAAAACUAUUCACAGUUUGUUUCUUUUCCUAUAUACACUUGGCAGGAAAAGGGGUACACUAAAGAGGUAAGAGUUUUUUCCCCAUCUUCUCAAUGCUUGUACUUUUGUCAUUGGUUUUGUAUGUUGUAUGUUCAGGGAAAUUAUUGGGGACGAUUUCAUUUCAGGUUGAGGUUGAUGAGGAUCCAGCUGAAUCCAAAAAGGAUGGAGAAAAUGAGAAAACCGAGGUACAAAAGAAAAAAACGAAGACUGUUGUUGAGAAAUACUGGGAUUGGGAGCUCACUAAUGAGACACAACCAAUAUGGGUGAGCCUUAACAGUUUCUUCUUUGUAUGUUUACUCUGCUUUUUAUGGCAGUAACUUUUUUAUGCUCACAUGAUUCCAAUUGAUAUGUACAGCUUCGCAAUCCUAAGGAAGUCACUACGGAGGACUACAAUGAGUUCUACAAGAAAACUUUUAAUGAAUACUUGGAUCCACUAGCAUCUUCGCAUUUCACAACAGAGGUAUUUUAUGACUAUUAAGAUCCUCAACAAAUGCCACUUGUAGUAGAAUUUUGAAGUAAAUGUUGCAUAUUUCUGUAUUAUCACAUGAUGUCUGCUUCUUGAGUUGGAUAAAAGUUGUGUGGAGUUGACAAUAACUAAGUUAACUAUGGGUUUUUUUGUUGUAGAAUUUUUAUAAUUGCAUAUUUGUGGUAUAGUGGCAACUAUCAUGAUGUCUUCUUAAGUUGGGUAACAAAUGGGUGUUAUCUAAAUUUGAAUGACAAUUGAAAAUACAGCAUUAGUGCCUGAAGUUAGGAUGAAAUGUGUAGUUCUGUUUGACAAUGUACUCGUACUUAAUUGCUCAUAUAUUCUGCUUUUAAGUUGAAGAGGUUGGUAUUUGCAGGGUGAAGUAGAAUUCAGGUCUAUUCUGUAUGUUCCAGCGGUUGCUCCUAGGGGGAAGGAUGACAUAGUCAACUCCAAGACAAAAAAUAUAAGCCUCUAUGUGAAAAGGGUGUUCAUUUCAGAUGAUUUUGAUGGAGAACUGGUAAACAAAAUAAAGACAUUUUUACAACAGAGUAAUGCAUGGUUCUCUUAAAUGGAAGCUUAUUGGUUCUAAUUGCUUUUACAUUCCCUUUUGAGUAGUUCCCUCGAUACUUGAGCUUCGUCAAAGGUGUUGUGGACUCAAAUGAUCUUCCACUCAAUGUUUCACGUGAAAUUCUUCAGGAGAGUCGUAUUGUAAGUACAUCUAGCACACUGUCGUUUUAACCUUUAGGUUCCAAUUAGUUUACUUUAAACAAACUGUUGUUUCUGUGAUCUACUUGAAGGUACGGAUUAUGAGGAAGCGCUUGGUUCGGAAGGCCUUUGAUAUGAUCCUGGGAAUAUCCAUGAGUGAGGACAGAGCAGUAUGUUUUUGCUUCUGUUUUCUUAUCAUCCUUUUUUGUUUGUAUGUUUUCAGUCUUGUGGAAUUAUGGUACAAAUUUCAACAUCUUGGCAAUUACUCCUCAGCCAUGUCUUGUUCCUGAGUCCUGUAGCUGUGACUCUGAAUCCUGAUGUUUUCCAACCCCUCUGCUGCUUGGGGUAGCGAAUGAUAUUGCCCCUCUACGUUCUUUAAAGAUAUCCUUUGUUGUUUAUUGCAGGAUUAUGAAAAGUUCUUCGAAAAUUUUGGAAAGCAUUUGAAACUGGGUUGCAUUGAAGAUCGUGAAAAUCAUAAGCGUAUUGCUCCAUUGCUUAGAUUUUUCUCUUCCCAAAGUGAGGAUGUGAUGAUCAGCUUGGAUGAAUAUCUUGAGAACAUGAAACCUGAGCAGAAGGGUAUCUAUUACAUUGCUUCUGAUAGUGUAGAAAGCGCAAGCAAUACACCAUUCCUGGAAAAACUUCUUGAGAAGAAUUUCGAAGUAUGUUUUGCCUCUCAAAUAAUUUGAUAUAUUUGAUUAUGCUGUUUUAUGUAUUUAUGGAUGAUUUUUGUUGUGCUAUUCUUGUAGGUGUUGUACUUAGUUGAUCCAAUUGAUGAGGUUGCCAUCCAGAACCUGGAAUCUUACAAGGAGAAGAAAUUCCUUGAUAUUAGCAAGGAAGAUCUGGAUUUAGGUUAGUUCAUUGGAGCCCUUUGAGUUGAUCCGAUUGACUUGACAUUCUUGCUUCUUUGAUUAUGUUUCCUUUGCUAAGGAAAUCUGAUAUGUAUGAAUGACCUUUCUGCAGGGGAUAAGAAUGAGGAAAAAGAAAAGGAGAUUAAGCAGGAAUAUGGCCAAACAUGUGAUUGGAUUAAGAAACGUUUGGGUGACAAAGUUGCCAGUGUUCAGAUUUCAAACCGUCUUAGCUCGUCACCCUGCGUUCUUGUAUCUGGGAAGUUUGGUUGGUCUGCCAACAUGGAGAGGUAGAGUCCCUCUGUUGCUGAAUACAUAUGUCAAGAAUUCAUAUUACAGAACCUGAUUGUUAUCCUCUAAACUUGUGAUUGGACGUUUCCAGGUUGAUGAAGGCACAAACUGUUGGUGAUACUUCUAGCCUUGAGUUUAUGAGAGGCAGGAGGGUGUUUGAGAUUAAUCCUGAGCACCCAAUCAUUCAAAACUUGAAUGUACGUUUGCACGGAGAAAGCUACUCUCCCCAACUCUCCCAAUCUUAGAAGACUAUGGUUUUAGAAAAUACAGUAACAUUUUAAUCCUGGUUUGCAGGCUGCAAGCAAGAUCAACCCGGAUGAUGAAGAUGCUAUUAGAGCUAUUGAUCUUUUGUAUGAUACAGCUUUGGUGUCUAGUGGUUUUACCGUGAGUAUUCAAGCUUGCUUCACAUCUCUUGUUAAAACUGCUCUUAGGAUUAUAUGAUCUAUAGCAACCAUUCUUCAUUGUAACUUGACCAUUAAGAAAUCCUAGGCCCUGAAAUGAAAAUGCACUUGACCUCGUGGUUUGGUGAAAAUGAGAAUUGCUUUUUUGGAUUUGAAGGUGCCACUAUUUGUUGGUUUGAGACACUAACGCUACAGACA
rnacentral:lncRNA from 1 species